AAACGCGGCACACCCGUUGGUGGGCCCCACGGGCCGUCCCCAUCUCUCCACCGUACGAUCUCCGAAUCGAUGUAUCUUAAUAUGUGCGAUGACGUGUCGCUGUACACCGACGCACGGAAAAGGAGGAUUUCGCCACGUGUACGCCUAAGCGUCGGGCCCGAUCCACGUCACUCGACCGUUUUUGACCGGCACGUGUCCCUCUCCGGUUGGUUUAACCGGGUCGGUGACCGGGAGGGGCAUUUAAGUAAGGAAAAUAGUAAACACACUGCCCAUGUUGUUGUUGUUGUUACUUAUACUCGCUCCUCGGCGGCGAUUUACUCUCCUCUCCUCGGCGGCGAUGGUAAUGGGGUGGUGGGACCGCAUCGUGUUCCCGAUGCGGAGGGUCUGGAUCGGCGUCGCCUCCCGCCUCGGGAUGCGCAAGUCCGGUAAGAUGGACGGCCGCGAUCGAUUCUCGCCUUCGCCGGAAUUUUCCUUNCUAUUCUUUUUUUUUUCCUUCUUCUUUCUUCUGUUUUUUCAUUUCUGGCCUGACAAUGGCGGUGGCAGUUUGGAUUGUUGAGCAGCGGCGGCGGCGGUCUCGACGGCGUCGGCGUUUGUGCACAACAGCAUCGGCGGCAGUCACUACAGCAACGACGGCAGUCACUACAGCAACGGCGACUUUUCUCCUUUUCGUUUUCUCUUUUUUUUUAAAAAAAAACUCUUCUCCUCAUUCUUUUUUUUAUUCUUCUUCUUUUUUUUCUUUACUUCUUGCCUGACAACAUCGAAUGGCAGCUUAGGCGGUGCCAGCGGCGGCUUGGGCGGCGUCGGCAGUACGCACGACAGUGGGAAGCAGCGUCAGCGGUCAUGGUGGCAGUGGCGGCCGCGGGGACAAUGGCGGUCGCUACAACAACAUCAGCAGCGGUCACGACGGCAACAGCCACCGUUUUCCUUUUCUUUUUUUUUUUCUUUUUUUUUGUUUCUCUUCCACUUAUUCUCUGUAACUCGCUCUUCUUCUUUUUCUUCUUUUUUUUUUUAUCUCUUCUUCCUCCUCUUCCUUCUUCUUCUUCUUCCUCUUCUUCUAUUUGAAAGAUAAUUGAAAAUUUAAUGUCACUAUAAUUUUUUUUCCCUAAAAACACCUCCUUAAAUAUAUUUUUUUAAAAAUUAAUUAUUUUUUCGCAUAUUUUUUUAUUUUUAUUUAAUUAUUUUUUUUAAAUAUUAUAUUUAUAUUAUCUAUCCACAGCGAAGCGCGGAUCCUACACUAGUUAUAUUUUAUAACACAUCACUAUUACUCAGGAGGAGGAUCAAACAAACUCUCAUGUUAUUUUAUUCAUUACCGGUUAUUACAGGAUCGGAUGUGCUGCUCUAAUCACUCCAAACAUGUUCGUCGACUUAAUUUAGUAAUGCACACAACACUCCCAACUUAAACAAAAUUAUACCAUACAAAACAAAAUUUCAAAUUUGAAGAGGGAGACCGACCGUCCCUACGGCAAGUGGCAAAAUAUUUGGUGGUUGAUAUCCAAGGUCCCAAGUUCGAGUACUAAUUGAUUUACAUUUUCAGCUAAAUUUAUUUUUAAAUAAAAUAAACGAAGCGGGUAGCGUGCUAUCUAUCUCUCCAAAAAAAAAAAAAAUUGAAGAAGGAGAGAUUUAAGUAACCGUAUACAACAAGAAGGGAGGAUUCUAAUCGACUCUAACACUUUACUGUGGAGAUAUAUAAUCAAUAACCAUCUCAUUUUCUUUACGGAAAAAGGCUCAUUCAAUACUUGCCGAUCACUGCAUCUGCAUUCAUGGGACAUACAAAAAGCCCAAACCACAAAGCAAAAGAGUAGGCCGCUCUGAUCCAGUCAGUUUCAGCAACAAUCAUAGAUGGUCCCUCAUCUACUGACUUUUAUCUUACACGUCCACUCUGUAACUGACCUCAUUUUAAUUCAGCAAUGUCUGGGUCAACCUUUUCCGUUGACCAACCCUUAAAAAAAAAAAUUCAAAUACCACCCCUAUUAUUUUGCUUUUUUUUUUUUAUUUUAGUACUAUACGGUUUAAAGUNUCUCUGUGUAUCGCGUUUUCACCCUUUUUUUUUUUUUACCAUACUUGUUUGUUGCGUUGUACGUAUUAUUAUUAUUAUUGUUAGUACUCUAAAUUAGAAUUAGUAGUGUAUGAUUACUUUUAAUGAGUAUCAUUAUUAGGGAUAAUUUUAUUUUAACUCGUUCUAGAAUUAGUAGUGUAUGAGCAUUGCUUCGAUUUUUUUUUUUUCUUGGGAAUUAAUGUUCAGGAGGAGGAAAAAUGAAAAAUCGAAAUUUUAUGGCCCGGAAUGCAUAUAGUGGGAUUUUUUUGUUUGUUUUUUUAUGCUGCCUCUCAAUAUUUAUUUAUUUAUUUAUCUAUUUUUCUCAAUUUGGAUUUUUUUAAAAAAAAAUAUUUCAUGAAAUUAAGCAAAAUUUAAUAUAAAGUAGAAAAUGAGACAUAUAAUUUAUUUUGCGCUCGAAUUUUAGAAAAUUUAGAGAAAGUAAUGAAACUAUUAUUAAUUUUUAUUUUAUUAAAAUUAUUAUUAUUAUUAUUAUUAAUGUUGGGCUUAAGAUGGGUCCAUAAGGUGGUUGGCUAUACUUAUUUGAGGUGGACGGUGUUAAUAAAUAAUAAAUAAUAAAUAAUAAAUAAUAAUUAUUAUUAAGGGGAAAGAAACAGAAGAUACUAUGCCUUGGAUAUUGUAAUCAGAAUAUUCCCGAAGAAUAUUCCCUCUAUGUAUGUGUGUUUUUUUAAAAAUUUUUAAUUAAUGCUAAGCACGAGAUUUGUGGUGAGUGACCACCAAAAUAAGAAUCGGCACUGUAUAUAUUCUUUUAUUUUAUCUUAAAAUAAUAUGAUAAUAUAUAUAUGUUAAUAAUAAUAUGUAUGCUCCUACCACGUUCUUUGUGGGGUCUUUUUAUCACAGCAAUUUGUUUGUUUAUAUAUAUGUAUGCUAGUGAAAUGCGCUCGCUGCGGCGGAUCGAUUUUAUAAAAAUAAAUAAAAUUAAAAUAAUAAAAUAUAAAUAAAAGAAAUUAAAGAAAAACAAUAGCUGCUAUAAUAAAAGCAUAAGAAUAAAAAUAUACAAAGAAAAAAAAUAUAAAAAUUAUAAAUUAUAUUUAUAAUAGCAAUAACAGUUGAGAAUUAAAAUAUCAUAUAUCUAAUUAAAAUAUGAGUUUGAAAGCGUCACAUACUUUAUAAUUUGAGCAAGAAAAUAUUGCCCAUUAAAUUUGAGGACUAAAUUAUCACGCGUCUUAUAAUUUUAGGAUCAAUAGUGUAAUUUAUUCUUUUUAUAUUUUAAUUUUAUUCUAAAUGAAGACCGUUGGUCUGUUUUGUUCAAUCAGUAAUUUUAUCAAAAAAAAAAAAAUUGUUAAGCCAUCUAAUAAAUUUUAAUAUUAGAUUUGAGUCAAUUACUAAUGCUUUUACUUUAAAAUUUGAAUGCUUCUUUUAGCUUUAUAGAUUUAGUUACUAUACUUUAUGUAAUCUUUGUAACUAAAUUUAUUAAAAUAAAUAAUUAAUUUAAACCUCAUCAAAUUUUUUUUUAUUUAUUUUUGAGUAUAUAAUCUAUAUGUAAUUGAUUAAUAUUAUAAAACUAAAUUUUUUAUUUAAUAAUGUAAUCUAAACUAUUUAAAAGUAUAUAUAAAUAAAGUCUGGUUGGGAUUCUAUCGAUAACACCAAACGUUGGGUGCUAUUAAGUUUUUCACCGUUAGAAUUAAGUCUGUGACUAUUUUUAUCCGUUAGAUUAUACUAUUAAAUCAAUAACUUACUCAACCCUAAAGGGCUCACAUCAUCUUAACCAUAUAUUUUUUCAUCCAAGGGCCGAAAAUCUAAUAGCACAAAUAAUUUGAUACUAUUAGUAGCAUUCCAGCAUAGUUCGUAUGAAUAUUUAUAUAUUUUAUUUUUCUAUAAUAAAAGAGAAAAAAAUUAAAUUGAAUUAAAAAAUAAAGUCUAACUUUAUAAUGAAAGAAGAAAAUUAAAUUAAAAAAUUUUAAAAAAACCAUUUCUAGUGGGCCCUACACACUCCCAAACCCACCGUCCCACUCCCCCUCCUCCUGCACGAAAAAUUCUAAAAUGCAACAGGUGUAUUAGUGAUGUGGCGUAAUAAACCAAUCAAAUGUAUCAUUUUAAGAGUAUCUGUCCAAUCAUGAUUCAUGAUUGUAAAAAAAUAUUUUUAUUGUACUCUUUGUUUGAAAAGAAGGAAUGUGAUUGGCUUGUUAUUGAUGACAUUGUGCAAGUGUGACAGUGUAGAAUUCCUCCUGCACGCGCUCCCCCGCCACGUGGCAUCCGACUCUCAAUUCAUGAUAUUUAAUUUAAUAGAUAGAGAGAGAGAGAGUUGAGCUGAAAUAUUAUUAAUAAUAUUUAAACUGUUUUGUUAUAAAUUUUUUAGCUGUUAGAUCUAUACUUUAAUCAAUUUUAUCUUUUAAAUCAUACUAUUCAACCAGCUAUCCACUUAAAUCUUAGGGGGACCACUACUAAACCCUAGGGAUCACUAUUAUUCUAAUCUUAUUAUUUUUAAUCUGAUAAUUAAAAAUUCGAUAGCAAAAGAGUCUAAAUACUUUUAAUAGUAUUUCAGCCUAAUUUUCUCUCUCUCUCCUCUCUCUCUUCUCUCUAUAUUAUAUAUAUAUAUAUAUAUAUAUGGGUCCGGCUACUAUACUAUUAUGAGUACGAUCGCCUUCGUACUCAUAAGUUGUUUUCGAUGAUAGAUCUUCCGAAUCGACGAUCCACACCGUUAAACGUCAUUUUACAGCAUUUAAAACUUCCUAGAAAUCAAUUUAUAAUUUUCGACGUCAUUUACCUUACCAAACGAUCAAGAGGUCACAAAUUUGACAAUUUUUAACGGCCGGUAUGGGAUACUUGCUAGUUUAACGGUGUAAAAGAAUCGAAAUUUGUUGAAUAUUUGAUAAAAAAUUUUAUUCAAUACAUAUAUAAAGAUCAAUAACUCCGAUCUUGAAUUGAAGGAUCCGAUCAUCCUUUUUAGGACGUCGUUCGAUUUUGACCGUUCAUUUUAUACCCACUUGAUGGACUUUAUUAUAAUUUCGAAAAUUUACGAAAUUUAUUUUCUAGAAGUUUCAAAUACUCUAGAUCAUAUUUAACGGAGUGGAUCGUCGAUUUGGAAGCUCCAUCAUUGAAAACAACUUAUGAGUAUGAGGGCUCCAAUACUCAUAAUAGUAUAGUAGCCAUGGCCUAUAUAUAUAUAUACACAUAUAUAUAUAUAUGCUAAAUUAUGAGCCGUUACUAAUUGGAUAGCAUAGUUUUUCCUUUUUUUUAAUUAGUGGCGGAUUUCUUUUUCUAAAAAGAAGGAUAAACUUUAAUUUGCCUCGGUGUAAUGUUUUUCUUUUUAGAGAAACAGAUGGUUCAAAAGAUCUUCUGUUCGCUUUAUUUAUUAAGCAAAUAAAUUAGGCAAUAGAAACUGAGUCAACUAGGCUUCCGCAUAGUUGAUUUUACUUUAAAAAGUUAAAAUUAACUAUCCUAUUAUUUAGUGUGUUUUUUUACUUUACUAUCUUGUUAUUAAAAGAGUUACAAUAAAUUAUCCAGUAAUUUUAUUUUUAUUUUAGUGUAAGGACCCGAGGUUAAACUAUUCUGUAGUUUUUUUUUUCAGUGAAUAAAGUAUAGAAUAGUUAAACACAACUUUUUGAAUCAAAGACCGACUAUCUCUAAAGCAAGUGGCAAAAGGCUUGGUGAUUGGUACCCGAGAUCCAAGUUCGAAUCCUAGUUGAUUUACAUUUUUAGCUAAAUUUAUUUCUAAAUGAAAUAAAUGAAGCGAGUAGCGUGCUACCUAUUUCUCAAAAAAAAAACCUUUUUGAAUCAAAGCGGCUAAAAAUUCUUACCCAAACAGAGCUUUGGAUUUUAGUUCUUCUUUGGGCUGCAUGUUCACUUGCUCUGGGCUCUUAUGGGGGGACCAAUUUCUCUUUAAAUUGUUGAAUUUACAUGGGCUUGGUAUAAUGUAGCCUCUAUAUUAGUAGAGGUUUGGUUAGGUUACUGGGGUUGUCAAUUUUUGUAUUUUCAAAUUUUCAAAACGUUUUUGGUGUCACAUUGAAGGAGAGAUUCAUUAGUUAAUUUGCUAAGAGCCUGUUUAGAUGUUUCUUUUUUUUUUACCCUUUGCAGGAUGUCAACAGAUCGGAUUCGGGACGGAUUUUUACAAAUCCGAACCUAACUCCAAACCCGAAACUCGAACCCGAUGAAUUUUAAAAAUUCAUAUCCAAAUCUGAACCCGACCAACAAUCCUACACCCGAACCCGAAAAUUCGAAUCCGAAACAAUUAUUUCUCUUUUCAAUAUUUCAAAAUAUAUUACAUUAAAUCUAAAAUUUGAAAAUACAAAUUCAAAUAUAACAUUAAAUUUUUAUAUAUAUAUAUAUAUGUAUAUAUAAUGUAAAAUAAAUACGGGUUCGGAUCCAGUACAAUCAAAAUCCAUAUCCGAAUUCAUAUCCGUUGGAUUUUUGUUUUUGAUAUCCAUAUUCGAAACCAUAUUCGUCUAGUAUCGGAUAAAUCCGUUCUGUUCGGAUUCAAGUUCGGAUAAAAUUUCGAGUGACACUCCUAUUUGCGCCGGUAGGAGAAUGAAGUAACCAUCACUCUUGUUUCAGAGUAUGUUCCUUCUUUGAGUUUCAUCUGCAAGACUGCAGCUUACUCUUAUCCAAACAAGUCUUAUUAGGGAAAAAAAAGUUAUUCCCAUGUCACUACUUAAAAUGGAAAUUUAAGAUGCAAUUAGCUAUAUGUUUGAGAUAGCUAUUUGAUGCUUCAUUAGGUGAUAAAUAAAAAGAAUAAAGGCACAUAAAAACAAAGGAAAUGUCAUAGUUAAAAAUUAGUAGAACUAAAGAGUAGAUAUGCACAGAGAGAGAGAGAGAGAGAGAGAGAGAGAGAGAGUACCCAAUAAGGAAAUGAUAUAAUAAGCCCAGAAAAAACUGAUGAAAAAGAUUUAUUGGGAAUAAUUCCAAACGUAAGACCGUUCUAUCCGUCAUUCGUACAAUUUUAAAUUUUCUGUUGUCCAUACGACGGACGGUGGAUGAAAUAGUCUCACAUUCGAGAUUUGUCUGCACUAAAUAUUUAUUUCAAAAUGUAGAUUAAGAUUAAAUAGCUCAUGUAAUACAUGCUUUAUUUGAACGAAAUAAUUUUCCUGUUUUUUUUUUUGUAUCAAAUACAAUUUUUGUUUUGGUUCAAAUUAACCUGACCUUUUAAUCAUCUUUUGCGUACAUAACCGAUGAAAUAUGAAUAAUAAUUUAGUAAUAAAACAACAAGUUUGAUAUUUUCCUGAUAAGAAACAGAGUUUGUAGUGCAAUUUGACCUCUUCUCUAUAAAAAACCUUUUCUACAAAUUUACCUCAAAAAAAAAAACUAUUUUUUCAUUCUAGUCCCUAAUCUUCUUUUUCACCAUUUAAGUUUCUAAUCUUUAGUGUAAUUUUAAUUUAACUCAUUGUCUUUAUAAUACCACUAGUUUUGAUGAAAAAUUGCCAUGUAGCGAGAUUCAAUUCUUAUAUAUUGUGCUCUGGAGCUCAACUGGACUGAUCGAUUGGACUAAAAUAAUUAUAGUUUAAUUUGAAAAAUAUCAUACUAAAAAAAUAGUCAAGUAAUUAAUCAGUAGAGCCAACAAGUGAUUCUGAUUAUAGAAGAAAAGUUAUUAUUAUUAUUAUUAUAUUAUUAUUAUUUUUAUAUAUGACUAAAAUAAAUUGUCUAUAAUUUUUUAAAAAUAUAUAUAUAUUUAAUAUACAUUAAUAAUUCGACUUCAAUCAAAAUUUAGGUGAAUUUCUAGAUCAUAAGCCUUUUUUAUUAUUGUUCUUUUGUCAAAAAAUUAUUAAUAUAAAUAUUAAUGUAAUAAAUAUUUGUCAUAUUUAUGGUAUUUCUUUUUAGAGUUAACUAGUAUAUGACUCGUGCGAUGCACAGCUAAUGUAAUAAUAUAAAAUAACAAAAGUUAUUAUAGGAUGAUAAAAGAAAAAUAUUUUAAUUAAUAUUAUAUUUUUUUUAACAAAUAAAGAAAUAUACUAUCAAUCUUAAUUAUAAUACAUAUUAAAUUACGAAAGCUAGAGAAACAAAAUUAUGGACCAAAAUAAAUACUCAGGUAAAGAGCAAAAUUAAACCAUGCUCUAUUAUCUAUGAAUUGGUGUGCAAAAUAAUUUGUUUAAUAGUAUUAUUAAUUAAGAUUGAUAGUAUAUUUGACAUUAAUAAUUAAGUAUAAUUUGAUUUAAUAAUGUUUCCUAAUAAAAUUCUAUUUUUAACCAUCUAAUUGCUAUAUUUGAGUUUGACAUGUGGCAAGUAUAUAGAAAGAUGCAUGAUAAACAUUUAAUUUGAUUUAAUUGUAUAUAUAAUUAUAAUUUAAUUUAACGGUGUUUAAUAGUGUUUACUAAUAAUAUUCUAGUUAAUUGUAUAUAUAAUUAUAUUUAAUUGGUAUAAUUUGAUUUAAUAGUGUUUCCUAAUAAAUAACCUAUUCUAUAUUUGUAGUGUUUCCUAGUAAAAUUCUAAUUUGUAUAAUUUAAUUUAAUUUGAUUUAAUAGUAUUUUCUAAUAAAAUUUUAUUUUUAAUCAUCUAAUUGCUAUAUUUGUGUUUGAUAUGUGGCAAGUAUAUAGAAAGAUGCAUGAUAAACAUUUAAUUUAAUUUAAUUUGAUUUAAUUGUAUAUAUAAUUAUAAUUUGAUUUAAUAGUGUUUAAUUGUGCUUUAUAAUAAAAUUCUAGUUAAUUGUAUAUAUAAUUAUAUUUAAUUGGUAUAAUUUGAUUUAAUUUGAUUUAAUAGUCUUUCCUAAUAAAAUUGAUAUUCUAUUUAUAGUGUUUCAUAAUAAAAUUCUAGUUAAUUGUAUAUAUAAUUAUAUUUAAUUGGUAUAAUUUGAUUUAAUAGUGUUUACUAAUAAAAUUGCUUUUCUAUAUUUAAGUUUGACGCGUGGCAAUCAUAUAAAAAGAUACGUAUCAGUUUUACAUCAAGAGUUCUACUUUAGUAUAUAGUAAAAUUGAGUUUGACACGUGGCAAGUAUAUAGAAAGAUACGUGUCAGUUUUACACCAAGAGUUCUACUUUAGUAUAUAGUAAAUAUAGUAAAUAAAUAGUUUUUUCAACGACCUAUACUGAUAUACAUUAUCUAAUAAAUAAAUACUAAAAAUUAAGGACCGGAUUGCAAAAAAAAAAAAAAAAAAAAUGAAUCGAGGACCCAAAAAAACACGAAUGAAGGUUAGGGACCAACAAGGCAAUUAACCCUUUAAAAUCCGUCGCUUCUCUUCUUCCUUCCUCGCUUCUUUCGCAGCGCAAACGAUGUCGGAGAACCCCUUGGAGCCCCUCCUCAAAACCCUAGACUCAAUCUCGCGCUGCGUCCAAACUCACCUCUCCCGCGUCUUCGUCGCCCCCCAAAACGCUUCUCCAAAACCCACGCUGCUUCGUCCCCUCUUAUCCUUCUCGCCGACUCCCGUGGCUCCGGAUUCUACCACUUCACCCAUAAAGGUGCGCCCUUUGCUUCUCUUUUGCGUCCAAAGAAGAGGUGUUGAGCGCUUAUGGAUUUGGGUUUUACGAGGUCUGUGUGUUUGGGGCUUUGUUUAGGAGAAAAAGGCGGCGCCUUUAACGAAGGAGGAGCUCGGGAGGGCGACGUGGACUCUGCUCCACAGCAUUGCGGCCCAGGUGUUUGGUUUUUUGCCUCUGUGAUGAUCUUGUGCUUUCUCAUGUUUUUUCCCUGAAAGUUACCUUGUCAUUUCGUAGUGAGUUCCUUUUUGUUGGUGAAAGAGGAGUAACUUUGUCUGAUAUUAGCCUUUGGAGGUAGAAAUGACGUAACCUUGUGUCAAUUUAAUCUUUGUAUUGUUUAAAAUGCUGUUGGAAAUGUUGAUUAUAAGAAACUGAGUGUCAAACAAGUGAUUAAUCUAAAAGUACAAGCUCUUAGCGAGUGGUGUUUUAAUAAUUUAUAUUCAACACUUCUCAUUGUAUCUAGGCUCAAGACAUUUUGAUAGGCCAAGAUGCAGGCUACAAUUAAAUGGAGGGAAAGUAAUUGCGACCUGCUCUGAUACCAUAUAAGACAACCAAUUACUCUAAAAAGUUAAGCUAUCAGAUAACAUUGUUUUAAUAUUUUAUGUUCAACACUGAGCUGGCCCAUUGAUACUUUUUUUGGCUUGCUUUCGAAUAGGUAUUAGCAAUAGAUACUUAAUUAGGAUGUUUUCCUUUAUUAUCUUCUCGUGCAUGAUGGGGAUGUUAUGAUUGUUAAGAAUGUUAGUCCCAGAGUGUGAGACUUGAAGAUUUGAAAUAGUUCUAUAUAUAAGAUAUAAUAGAACUAAAUUUUUUAAUCCGGAUAUAGCAUUUUGGACUGUGGCUAGGUUCAAAAGAUUAAAGGAGUCAAGCGUGCUAGGGUUAGAGUAGUCUUAAGAUGCGUGACCCCCUGAGAAGUGGGGCGUCAUAGUUGGUAUAAGAACUAACUACCAGCCGGAAGUAUGAGAUGAGUCUCGGUUGAGCCAAGUUAUACAGUGGACAGAAUGAGACUCUCUGGCCGAUGACUGUUGUGCGUGGAGCGCGGCUUCUUAUAAGGUCGACUAAGGCUAGCGAGAUGAGUCUCACAUUGUCUGGUACUUGUGAGUGUGCUUAAGCCUGAUGAGGACGUCAGAGUUUAAAAGAGAGAAGAAUGUGAGACCCCAGGAUUUGGAAUAAGACUAAAUUUCUUAACCCGGCUGUAGCAUUUUGGACGGUGGCUAAGCCCAAAAGGUUAAGAGAGUUAAGAGUGCUAGGAUUAGAGUAGUUCUAUAAUGGGUGAUCCCCUGGGAAGUGGGACGUCACACAGAGGGCAUCCAGUGUGAACGACAGCCCCAGAAUCUAGUCCCAAAGAGGGCUUUGACAUGGUGCCAGAGUCAGCUUAAGUAUGAAAGGCACCUAGUAAUUGUUGGUUGAAUAAUUAAGUUUCUUAAAUUAAGGCUGAAAUUCAUUAUUCUGAUCUGUUUAACCAAAUCUAAAUUUCGACUAGGUUGCGGGCAUGCAACAAGCACCUAUGUUUGGCUUCGGGAGUUGACUAAACUUGGUUUAUUAUAUUUAUUUUGACCCAUGUGUCACACAUUUAUUGGCUAGAAGAAAUGAUUUUGCUUUCUUCUAGCUGGAAACAGCAUUUAUUAGCCAUAUGUAGUGUGAGCAGCUUUAUGGAGUUGAGAUUUCUGCUGAAACCAACGAUAAUAGACAGAAUAUUCUUGUAAGUUAAGUUUUCAUACUAGAUUUUUUUCUGUUGAACUACUUUCACAAGUCUGCUACUUGUUCUGCUAGCUAUCAAAUUAAGGGCUUACCUUGGUGUAUAUCAUUCUCCUUUGGACACAGCACAUUGAUUUUCUGUAUCUUGUUUAAUACUUUUUCAGUAUCCUGAUCACCCAACAAGGCAGCAGAAAAGAGACGUGAAAGAAUUGGUAUGCAGCAAUGUCAUUUUCAUUUGCUAAAUUAUAUUGUUUAAUACCCGAUUGCAGCCAAUGGUGUCCAUUUCGUUUUGAUUAGAUUUUUCCAUGUUGGGACCAUGCACUAUGCAACAAUUGUACCCUAGGGCGUUGAAGACUUGAAGUUGAUUUUGUAGUUGCUCCAUGUAAAUUGCUAGAUUUAAUGAAAUAUGAUGAUAAGGUAGUGGUAGAUUUCUGCAGAAACAUUGGAAAUCUCUUUUGCUGCGAUAGCUAUUAAUGGAUAAUAUAUUACAUGUUUUGUAAAUCGAAAUAUGAUAAAUAUGUUUCUUUUUUAAGUAUUGUUGCUCAGUUCUUUGAUUUUUUGUAUUAUUGUCUCUCACUAUAUUAAUUCGUAAUAUGUGACAAUUUUUUUUUUUUUGGGUAUAUAUUGUCGCUAAUCAGAUCGUUUUUUAGAUCUAAAAAAGACAAGCUUGAUUUCUACUUCAUGUUUUUUUUCUCUUCUUGCAAUAGUUCAUUAACCUUUGGUUCAUUCAACAAUGGAGUCUCAUAUUUUGAUCAAAUUAGACAUGAGAAUAACACAGGUCUUGGGUUUGUGCACGCAGAUGGCUAUAAUAUCUCGACUUUACCCUUGUAAAGAAUGUGCCGAUCAUUUUAAGGAAGUGUUGAAGUAAGUAUAUUAAUUACCUUCAUAGGACUUGCUUGCUAAAUUGUUAUCGCAACCCCUGUUCUGUACAAAAAAGUCAAAAUGCCAACAUUAUCAAUGUUUUUGAAGUGCUCUUGGGGUCUCUGAAGUUUCUUGGGUUUGAACCUCCCAAUUACAGUUGUUUGAUUUUGGUCGGGUUCCAUUAGACUUAGUAGUUUCAGUUACUUAAUAUUCGAAAAUAACAGAAUAUUCUGGUAAAUUCCGGAAUAUCCUGUCAAAAAUGUUUUAAGAAAGUUGGUCUCACCAAAGCUGACUAAAACCAUUUAGUAUAGUGGGGCGUUCAAAGCCAAAUAUAUUGAAGUCCAGGGAUCUGCUUUUAGAACACCUAGAGCUAUAGUUGGCUUGUAUUGGCUUAGAGAUUAUUUUUGGUGUGCACGUAUUACAUGAAAGAAUAAAGGGUAAACAUACAGCCAUUUGCUGUGUUGUGUUUUGGCAGAGCGAAUCCCGUACAAGCAGGAUCACAAGCUGAAUUCUCUCAAUGGCUAUGUCAUGUACACAAUGUGGUUAAUCGAAGGUAAAUUUAAUCCUCUCCGACACUGUACCUCUACUGUCCAUCUGUUUUUCAUUUUACUCACAGGAAGCAGAUUGAGUCAUUUUUCAGUAUUAAAAAGAGUUCAUCAUUUUUCUGACAUAUGUUUUUGGGUGAUAUUUAUAGCCUAGGGAAAGUGAUAUUUCCCUGUCAGAGAGUGAACGCUCGAUGGGGUAAGUUGGAUUGUAAGGAUCGGUCCUGUGAUUUGGAAGGCACUGUCGACAUCAAAACUUUAACUUCCCACACCUGAUGUAUCACAAAGGAUCAUUUUGAGUAGUGCGAUAUCUUUCUACAUCAAGGAAGAAAAGGAAAUACUAAAGUUCACUCUCUCUUGUUUUACCAUUUUUGUAGUCAAUUUGAAGUAAAGUUUAGAUGGACAUAAUGAUGCUCAUUGUACAGCAGUGCAAACCAUCGUGAAGGCAAAAAAGUAGUAAAAUGAUUAGAUUUUUAACUAUGGAUGAUUGUCAUUGAACCGUAUGCUAUAUGCAUUUUGAGACUGUGACAUGGCAUGUAUUGACGUAAGCUAUAUUAUGUAUAUUUGUCAAUUAUUGUCCGUUAAAUGAUUAGAAAAAAUUGGUUGGGUCAAUGCAGUUGUUAUGUUCGAACUGAAUCUUCAAUCUUGUGCAUGGCUUGGAUGAAAUCUGGUGAAUAAGGUUAUGCUGUAAUUGUGAAGUAGGUUAUGAGAAUAUGUAGUUGCUUAAGCGUUUUCACAAUGCCCAGAAUUGUAUGACUUGGUUUUCAACUGAAGCUAGUAAGUAACCUGGAAACAUUACUGUUUUUUUUUUCCCUGUCGUUUUGCUUCUAACUUUUUAAGGAACUCAUGAGGUGGAAUUCACAAUCCAGUAUAAAGCCCCCCUUUUUUCUGGCUAAAUUUUGAAAUGCACUUUGCCUACUAGAUAGCAAACCAUGCGUGUAUUGCCUUUUUUUUUUCUCUCUCUCUCUCUUUUUUUUUUUUUUUUUUUUUUUUUUUUUUUAAGGUGCUGUGCUUUUAUGAACAUCCCUUAUGCUCAUGAUAGAACAUUCGUACCGAUGAUUAAUAUCGUAAAAUAUAAUCUAAAAGAUUUAAGAUACAAACUAACUAAAAUUUGUCUUUUUGACAUUGUCUACAUUAUGAAAUGCACCUUAAAGUCGGUAAUUUUAAUGGCCAAAAUGAAUUAUUUUGGCAUUCAACAGUGUAAAGCAAUUAAAAUCAGUGAAAUUUUAGUCGAUAGUAUUUUUUCAUUGUUUAGAUUUAGAUCAAUAAGCUAACGCUUAUAACUCACUCUUAAGUUGAAAACUAUAUUUUCUACUUCCACAAAGCUGUUCAAUAUUAAACAUUUUAUUCUUUGACCCGUCAUUUUUAAAAUUGAUCAUCCAUAUCAUUAAGAAUAAGUACUUGGAACAUGUAGAAAUUGACUUUUUGCAUUUUUUUUUCCUCUCAAAUUUAUUCUCUGGAGUAGCAAAAGAUCACAGAAUCAAUGGUGAAAAUUAAACAACCUGAAAAACCCUAGCAUUUGUUUGGUUGGGGGUUAGGGGUGGAAUAACCCCUUAAUCCCCCAUAUUAUUUCCAAACAUUCCAAAAAUAGGUGGGGUUAACUAACCCAACCUCAAAUGAGCUAUUCUGGAUUAGCUAAUCCUAUCUAACCUCACCAAAUCCCAACCAAACACUAUUUUCUAUUCAUAAGAACCCACUAUCUUUCUUAUCCCACCUACUCCAACCAAACAUUAUUUUUUACUAUCCUGAACUAACUCCAAUCCUCAACCAAACACAAAAAUACUCUAAUUCCACCUUAACCCUGAAUUUAACUCUAUCUUUGAAAUAACUAAUUUUUCUUAAUUCCGAAUGAAACGGUAGCUUAAGAUCAAGAAAAUAUUGAUUCGAUAUUUAAAAUCAACAAUAUAUUCAUUUUCUUCACCCAUUGUUGCAACAUGAAAGUGCUGUCCUAUGACUCCUAUCAGUCAUACUUUUUUAGGAUAUUAUAUUAACUUACAACAAAAUUUAUCUUAUUUUAAUAAAAUGACUCAGCAAUUUGUAUACAGACAAGACAUGCGUGUACAAUUAAUGUCUCAUCUACCAAUUAUUGUAUCACCCUUGAAAAAAUAAAAAAGAUGUGUCGAUUUAAAUGUUCGUGCAUCCGGACAAGUAAUUUUGUGGCCAAGCAGAGAAGAUCUAAAUCCUUUUUUUGAGUUUUCUCAAAAUGUCUGAUUUUGUCUGAAGAACACAGAACAGAGUUUAAGCUUGUUCCAAAAUAACACCUACAACAAGAAAAGCUAAAAAACCAUGAGCAUUAUAUGAUCUCAUCUUGCUUUACAGCUUAAUAAGCCAAAAGACUUGCUCUAACUCUCACCCCUGUUAAAGAUCGAAAAAUGUACAUCAAUCCAGUUUCCGGUCAAAAGAAAACAUAAGAAAAGAUGGCCGUUAUUUUAAGAUUUUGCAGAGCCACCCUUGUUUUGCAAACUACAUAAUUCAACGCCAUCAAGCGAUCGGAAAGGCGGUCUCUGUCCAAACUUCAACAGAUGCGCGGCUUCAUAAACGGGUUGCAACUGCUGAAUCAACUGAACAUCUAGAUAUGCUUCACAUGCGAAGCACCAGACUGACAAAUCACUGUAAAAGAUCAAUUUAGUUAGAGAAAUAUAUAUGUACUAGUUCAACAAUUAAAAACUAAAAACAAAUUAAUUCUUUUAUAGAAAAGAUUGCACGGUUUGUUGUACCUGAAGCUAAGAGCAAGACAGUGGCCAGUUUCUUGAUGAUGAUUAAGCAUAUGUUUGUUGAUAAAGCGGCUGCAUAGGACCUCUUUGCAGCUCAAGCAUAGCCAGUUCUCAGCAGGAUGGUGGCAUCUGACGAGUACAGAUAUGCUUUCAUGAGAGGAAUAAUAAUAGGGUUUUACAGUCUCAAGGGUCAACCGCAAAUAAAAUUUUCAAUUUUUGAUUAUUUAUAGAAAAUCUGUAUCUUUUAUCCAAAGCUGUAAAUGAAUUAACAGAAUUUUACAAGUGUCACCAGCCCUCUAAAAAUUCGUGUCAUUGCACACGGGAUAAAGUUCUUUAAAGACAGAAUAAUCCAGCCAUAAAUAACAACUCAUCAUUGCAGAAAAGAAAAAUCGAGCAAAUCAAUAUCAAUGCUUAAAGAUGUCUGACAAUUAAAUCAAACCAAAAUUGAACAAUCAAUAUCUCAAAGGGCUUGUUGUGAGAACUUUCGUUAUCAGAUGAACAGCUGAGUAAAAUUCUGACGGCAAAAUACAGAUAUGCUGAAUCAGAGAUGAACUUAAUUAGGUUUAACAUAUAUAAGAAGACAAAGCUGCAAGAUAUUUUGGAAAAUUCAGAUGUAUACAAACAUGUAAGGAUGUCUUAGAAAGUAGAUCAGAAAAGUGAAAACAAAUGAUAAGAUUGGUCUAUUCAACUUUCAAAUUCAUUUCCAAGGCAAUAAAUGACUAAAAGUAGGUUCUUUAUCUUCUGCAAUAGCCAUUGUCAUACGUAGGGAUAUCACUUUGCAGGGUCAGGCGAAACCAGAUUAUGUCCAAUUGAGGCUCAAGGUCUAAUCCGCAGGAUUGAACCCAGACCAGCCCCAACCAAACUCAAAUAGCCUUGACCAUACAUUACUCAGGUCCCCAUUCCUUUUCCCUUCUUAUUUUUUCCAUGAAAUUCCCACCCAGAUUAAGCAUAAAUUUAAACAGAAUGGCAUAAUUUGUGACGCGCCAGUCAAGCUGGUCAGCCCACAAUGGCGGUUGCGUCCUUGGACAACAUCCUUGGUUGCAUGAGCUAACAAGGAGCAGCAUAUAGAAAGGAUAAAUGUUCCUGAAUCAAUAACAAUCUUUCUUCAAAAUAACAGAAUAAGCCACCUUCUUUCCAAAUAUACUAUAUACCAAUUAGAAAUACUUCUAAUACGUGCCAAAGAAAUGUAGAAAGAUGACUUAAUUCUAUGGCUAUUUGUAUAGUACCACGCAAGAAAACAAUAAAGAUAAAAGAAAGAAAUCAUAUUACCUAGUUUUCAUAAAAUGUGGCAGGAUUUUGAUCAAGAAAUGUUGAUGAACUUUGCUUAAAUAGUAUCAUACUUCUUUUAGGAGGAUACAAGUAAAGUCGAUGCUGAGACAUGAUUAGACAAUCCCCAAUCCCCUUUUCACUGGUACUGGACAGGACUUGACACUUCUAUUUCUUCCAAAGAAUUCCACUUUAAAAGACACAAUCUUACACUAUCAUGUCCAUAUCCUCACCAAAACUAUGCACCUUAUACUGUAUCACUUGUCUUUUGGCAUUACUUUGAUAAUGUUAGCUACAAUGCUUAGAAUAACUGCAACAAGAGCACAUGAUCCAGAAUUCUAGCUUUAGCCACCAGCGAGUGGCAACCACUAAUGAGUAAACAAUACAGAAAUUGGACAACACGGCUAUUGAAUCACCAACAUCUAGUUCUCCAACUUUGAACUCAUCUAUAAUUUUUUCCAUGAAGAACAAGGGCAUGGCAGCAUGAAGUUCAGGUAGGGGUUCUUCUCAAAUAGAUUCAAUGGUCAUCACUGAUAUGUUUCUUCACAAAAUGGUUAUUCUGAUAAUUAUAGACCGCCAUCUAAUAUUGCACAAAAACAAUAAAUAAUCACCUUUCUUCCAAUUACACGCAAUGCUUCUGAAUUUCUUUUCCGAUUUCGAUGUACUCCAUUACCAGAUUCAUGAUCUAUACCUCAUCAAAAUAGUGAAAUCGGGAAAAAUUCAAAUUGCCUAACGGUGGCAUGGCGUAUAAUGAAACUUAACCAUGCUGAGGUUGCUAUGUCGAUUGCCUGAUAAGAACUUCUGCUAAAUGCAGUAAAAAUUGAGCAAACGACAAUCACAUAGCCGGUUUAAAACUACAUAAACUAAGUUUUUGUUAUUUAACCUUAUUGAUUCUCAUGAAUCACAUGAUUAAUUAAGCACGUGAUUGUCAUGUGCUCAAUUUUAACCUCAUUUCAGCAACAAGUCCUCACAGGCUACCGAAACAGCAAAUUUGGGCUGGUAAAGUAUUACAGUCUUAACCAUGGCUAUUAAAGUGGCAAUACACACAGAGGUAUCAAACAUUUUCCAUUUCAAGGAAUAAAAUUUACAAAGCUAGAAAUAUAAAGUAGAUACAACAAAGAAUAGGAAUUGCAGAAACUUCUCUCAUGGGCUCAUUAGACGCAAGCAUCCAUCAUAGUAAGUUAGGAUAUUCCAGCUAAAAGAUCGAAAGGGCAAACGAAACACUAGAAAUAACACUCCAAUCUUCACAACGAAUCUUUUGGUCCGCCUUAUUCCGCAUUGUUACUGUUCUUUUUUUUCCCAUUCCAAACAAGAAUUCCAUGUAGUCGAAUGUAUUAAUAGGUGAACUUCUCAACCGAUCUUGCAAUGCAAUCACGCCAAAUACUAAAAGGCAUCUUCUUUAGAAACAUAUAGGCAAAAAAAAAAAGGUUCUCAUUUUUUUUUUUUUUCCUUUUUUCUCCUUCUGUUGCCAAAAAGCAAAUCCACUAUCCACCCUAACACUCUACUGCAUAGAAUUUGCUUUAAAAAAACAUAAAAAAUAAAAGAUGACAACAAUAUUAAACAAGGAUUUACUAUCAUUUUCCCUCUAUUGCGUGACAUCUACUUGGAGAUCCAGUGCUCACAAAACGUCACAAUUACCCAAACAAAUUCGUUCUAAAAGAACAAACAAAAAAGGGGGAAUUGAUUCAUAACCUGAAGCAAGGGGAAUCGGGAGGAGGGAUGUGGACCAGAUCGGAGGCCAAGGAGGCGAGAUGAUCGCACGACGAUCGAGCUUCGACCCAUCCCGAUUCGGCACCAUACAGCUCCCCCAACUCUUCCUCCUCCUCCUCCUGAGAUCGAGAUUUUAGGGUUAGGGUUUCAAAACUGGAGGAGAUGAGAAGUGUUAGGGUUUGAUUACGUACGAAUCGAGACGACGACGUGCCCUCGUUCGCCAUUAACGACAACGAACUGACGAAGUGCGCGGAGCUUCUGGGUUCAGAAAUUAAUAAGGAUUUUUAUUAGGGGUUUAAAAGUAAAGUUGAACAGUAAUUGCACAUAUAUACCUUACAGUUUUAAAAUUAUGAAUUUUUUCGUUGGAGUUACAAUUAUCAAAUACAUUCAUCUAAAAUUUUUUUUAAAAUAAUUUAUUAUUUUGAGCAAACUUGUAAAUUCCACCGUGAGAAUCCUUUUAAACGCAAUAUGCAGAGAAUAGGACUCAACGUUUUUUCGACAAAUCUUUUAAGGAAGCUUCUUAUUCUAGAUAAUCUUGUAAAAAGAUGUUAGACUCGCAACACAACUUGUGUGUUGUGUGGAGUUGAAGAGAAAAAUAUGAACCAUCUAUUUUUACGGUGUGUUUUUAUUUGAUUUCUUAUAGUGAUGUCCGUAGAGAAUGCCAAUAGUAGGGAUUUGGAUGGCGACGUGGUUUCUGUUUGGAAUAGGUGGAUGGUCGGGAAUGGACAACGACCACCUCAUGAUAGUUUGGCUGGUUUAAUAACUUGCUGCUCAGUUAUUUGGCAGGUUAGGAACGAUACGAUCUUUCGCAACAUCCGAUCAAACCCCAUGUUGUUAAUCUCCAAGAUGAAACUGUUGACGAACUCUUGGGAACAAGUCUUCUCUCGGUUAGCCGAGUCUAGUUUUUUAUUUUUGUUGUCAUGUGACUCAUGUCAUGUCGUGUUGUGUCGUAUCUCAUUGGAGGCCAAGAAUAUUUUACCGAUAUAGUUUAAUUCAUAUAUCCAAUGAUCUAAAAGCAAAAAAAAAAAUUUAUCUGACUAAUUAAUACUAGUCAAUUUAUUGCUAAUAUUUAAUAUUUAAUUAUUUAUUUUUAAAAUAUAAUUUUUCAAAUUAUUUUUUAAAAAAAGAUUAACAUUUACUGUUAGAAUAGAGACAAUGAUAAUAAAAAAAAUUAUUAAAAAAUACCUACUGAAAUCCAACUUAACUGAACAGAAAAAAAAUUAUAUAUAUUAUUCAAUUUUCUGCAAAAGUUUCAAAAUAUAUUUAAUAAUUAAAACUUUUGGGGAGUCUCUCUGUAAUUUUGAUAGUUUAGUGAUAUGCGCGCAAUUUACUUCUCAAAAGAGUAAAAACCGGAUCCGAUAUAAAACGGAUCCGUAACGAUGACCCACUCGUCGUUUGGAUCGGGUUAACUCCAAAUUAGGGUUUUUUUUGCUUCGCAUAUAAAUGCGAACCGAACCCUUCCCUCCGCCGCACUUUCCUCAUCCCCGAGAGUUCGAUUCUAGGGUUUUCUCUACGAUCCAGAGCGAGAAUUUAGUGAAAGAUGGGGCACUCUAAUGUAUGGAACUCCCACCCUAAGAACUAUGGCCCAGGAUCUCGAGUUUGGUAAGUGAAUCCUCGUCCCCAAUCUUCUUUUCUAUCGAUUCAUCGCCUAAUUAAUGUUCUUUUUUUCCCUGGAUCUCGAGUUUGGUAAGUGAAUCCUCGUCCCCAAUCUUCUUUUCUAUCGAUUCAUCGCCUAAUUAAUGUUCUUUUUUCUUUUCUUUUUUUUUUUUUUUCCUUUGGUGAUUCUAUAUGAUUUUAGAGUUAGGAAUCAUUGGAAACGCGGUGAAGUUGCGAACUUGGAGAUUUGUUAGGGCUUUGGGGUUGUUUGUGUGCUAUAUAGUUUAUGCCUUUGAAAUGUUUUAUAUUUUGUCUCUCGUGAUGUUAUAUUUAGAUAGAGCCAUAGGUGAUUAAGAACUUGCUUAAAAAAACCCCUUUUUUGGGAUUUUUUUGGUUCCGAUAUCGGGUUCUCCUGCACCUGAUAAUGUUUCCUUAAAUGAGAUAUCUCUUAUUGCAAAGUUUUUUUUUUAAAAAAAACCUUUUGAAAAAAAUCAUCUGGUUCUUUGUUGGAGUUUUUUUUAAAUAUGGAAUCUAAAGUCAUUAAAAAUCUUGUAAAAGGAAAAAGUGAAUUUGAUCAACUGGGAUUUUAUUUAAUAAGGUUUUAGUAUUGAGAAGCUAGCUGAACUAUACAUUUUUUCAGUUGAAUUGUUUGGUUUAGUCUUUUGAUUGUUAGAGUCUGCUUGGAUGCGUGAAUAUCUUGUUUGGCGUAUAUCUUUUGUGUACUCGAGGGUCGUAUGGUAAUAAAGUUGAUUUGGAGUGCAAAUACCUAUAUCUGCAAUUGCAUAGUAUAUAGUGCACUCUUUGAAACCAAUAGAAAGAGGGAAGGAAAAAAGAGAAAAGAAAAGGAGUAAAAGAAACUGAAUUUCUCUUCAGUUGUUUGGAUGCACAUAAAGAAAGAGAUGAUCUUUCUAUAAUUUGUUUUCUCUCUCACAAAGUUAACAGGAAACAUGCAAAAACAUUUCUUUCCUACUUGUCUUUCUCUCCUUUUCUCUCCUUCAAAGAGGGAGCUAGCGAAGGAGGUGAAUUUUGCAUCAAUGACUAUUUUUAACUUUUUCUCUCGUUGAUCUUGCGCCUUUUUUUUUCCUUUUUUUUUUUUUCUAUUCUGCAUGCAGCCGGGUUUGUGGGAACCCCCACGGAAUGAUUCGGAAGUAUGGGCUUAUGUGUUGCAGGCAGUGCUUCCGUAGCCAUGCCAAGGAUAUUGGCUUUAUUAAGGUAAAUAUCUAAUGAACCUUUUUUAUUCUGCUUAUGUGUGGAGGUUACUUCUUUUUUACUGUGUGGAUUAUACGUGGUGGAUAUGAAUCUUUAGCAAGAUCGAGUGCCCUCCGACAGUUGGUAUGAUGUUUUGAACUUGUUAAAUUGUCUGCUGUUAUAAAUGGCCAGAAACCUUGAUAUUUUUGAACCUGACUAAAUCUGAAACUGAACUGUAUCAUCUGGAGUGGUUUUUUAUCAGCUUUUUUAACUAUAUUGGAUUCAAUUUACGCCAAUGAUGUUUAUGGCUUAGCAACCCUGCAAGUUUGUAUGACUACUUGUAGAUGAAUGAUUUUCAGGCAACAAGAUUCUUUUUCACACUGAUUUAUCCAUUUUUCGUGCCGUAAUAGUUAACAUAUGUGGUGUCUAUUAGAGUAAAAGGAGAGUAGCUAGUGCGAAACCGCAGUAUUGUCCCAGUGCAUCGGGUCUGCCCCCAAUCUGGGUUUUGUGGAAUCUCAGAUGCGCAAAAUUUGCUCUUGAACUUCCAUUUUGUUCCUUAGUUAUAAUUGGACCAAAUGAUGAACUACUAACUGAUCAUGUUUUGUAUCUCAAUGGUCACGUGCACCAUUUCAAAAUUUAAUAUAUGCUGUAGCUAUCUCACUGGUGAUAUUAUAGAACAAAGAUAUAAAUGUUACCCUUGAUAAGUAUUGUGGCCUGGGCCAAUUAAUCCUUUUGGAAAUUUUAGAUCAGUGCAAGUAGUAAUCCUGCUGCUUUCAAUCCUAUAUUACUUUUCCACUAUUUUUCUGUCCUUUGCCUUGAAAUUUCCUUUUUAGCAGAGGUAAUGUGAGCAAGAACUGAACUUUUAUGGCUUUUUCUUUUUUAUAGUACCGCUGAGCAUAGUUCGCGGUGAUUACCAUCAACUGGACAUGUGGUUUAAUGGGAAAUCAAGAGUGGAUUCGUCAUCUUUCGGAAGAUUGUCUACAAUAUUUAGCAAUGCCAUGUUAGUUUUCAUUGACGUUUUAUAUUUAAUUAUGUAAUGGAUCAAGUACCUGUAAGAUGUGGUUGCAGAAUCUAAUUUCUUCGUGGUUUAGUGUCAAUUGUGUCAUGGAUGAAAGUUUCACAUGUGCACCUUUCUUUUUCCUAGUGCUACUGCUGCCCGUUCCUUCAUCCUUGAUUUGUUUCGCCAAUACUUUUUAUUUGAUUGUUGUUUAGGUAGUGCGGUCCAAUCGUAUUUAGAUAUCCUGUGUUGGAUUUCAUCAUAUUAAUCUUAGUAACACCAAUAAGUGAUGUUGUUUUAUACAUCAACAUGCCAUUUUGGUGGGCCGCUAUGAACCACACACUGCCCCCCUACUUAGUUGUUUUAUACAUCAACAUGCCAUUUUGGGCUGCUAUGACACCCCCUGGCGAGUCGUAUUUUGCUUGCUUUGAUAUUAAUCACUUCUACUUCUCAUGGUGGUACUAUAUCAUUAUUUCUUAAAUUCUGUUUCUGCUGUUGAUUCAAGUGUUCACGAAUUUUCGAUGCAGCCUCAGUCUUAGUUGUUAUUGCAAACAGAUUUUCAAAACAAAUGCUUGACGUUAGAUUUCAUUGCUGGAGGUGUUGGAAUUCAAAUCAGUCAGUAAUAUAAGGAAAGCUUCAGAUAUGUGAAACAAAGCUAUUAUUUUGCUUUCUUUUCUUAUCUGAAUUAUACAUGAUUGUUAUACGCGAGAGACAGAUACGGAGAAAAGAAAAGAGGAGUUUGAUUGAAGAAAAAAGAAAAGAGAAAGGGAAAAAAGGGAAAGGGAAAGAAACUGUUGAAAUGAGACCAUUUUUUCUAUGGUUUAUUAUUAAGUAAAACUAGGGAGAUUGGAGGACCAAUAAGCGUAAAUGUUGCUGAUGAAUCAAUUUUUAUAUGUUGCUUUUAAUAAUAGGUUUAGCUUUUUAAACUUAAACCAUGAAGCUUGGUAAAACACUAAUUUUGAAAAGCUGAACUGUUCACUAGAUAGUAGAUAUUCCAGGAUAGAGUCUGAUGCAGAUGAAUCAUUGCUUAUCUUGUAAACCUCUAUUUUUUUUUUUUUUUUUUUUUUUUUGUUCUCUUUUCUCUCCUUUGAUUGCUAAACUAUAGUGUGAUUCCCUUUUCUAUGUAUCUAUCCAUCUCUGUUAUUCUCACAUUUUAAUUAACAAAUCAAAUGUACAAAUCUGUCAAUUUGUCAUUCAUCAACAGGUGAUGUUCUGAUUCUCGAAUCUUCUUUCUUUAGCAACACAUCUUGGAUGUAGAUGCUUAAAAAGAUGCUCAAUUAAACGGAUAAAAUAUCGGCAAAAGUCACAAAUUUGACCCAAAAAGAGAGAGGAACUAGUCAAGUGCGUGUUAUUGCUCGUGUGUGGUGUCACUAAAAAGAAAAGGCUAAUGUGAUUAUAGUUUCCGGAUCGCAGAAACCCCCUCCGACCUGUGAUCGGGAUCGCACAUACCAAUUUGUGUUGGGUUCUCGAUUCAGAAUACAAAAAAAUGGCGAAUUGGAAUCAUAGAGAAGCACCUCAAUUUUCUAAAUCUAAAUCAUAUUUCAGAAUAACGUUCCGACUAUUCCAUUCCAAGCAACAUUAAAUGUGAUUAUCUGGAAGGAGACUUGAAACCUACUAAAGAAACACCUAUCAACAACCUCCCUGAGUUAACCUCAUCAUAACAUGUUUUCUUUUCUCUUAAGCUAAUCUCAACAUUGGUGUUGUCGACUCUUUUCCUUCCUUUUCUUUUUACGAUUCUUUUAUAGUAAAUUGCACUACAAGCCCCUUAAACUUUUGCUUUUCGGUUUUUGAUUUUGAAAUCAUGAGCUUUUAAUAUUUUAGUGCUGAACUUUUUAAAAUUAUUUCUUCUUAGUCCGCACAUUAGAAUAAAAACUAUUUUCUGCACGUAGUUCAUCUGACACGGUGGACACCGGAAUUGUCGAUAAAUGUAUAAGUGUAGAUAAUAAUUUAUCGAGUAAGUAACGGUAAACACACAAAAGGACUAAAACAAAACUCUCAUUAGAAGAGUGAGCUAGGGCCUCAAACUUUUGAGCAUAAACUUAGCAGAAAGAAGUUCAGGGACUUAGCAGUACAAUCCAACCCAUUUUUGGUAGAUUGCUGUCCUGCUGAAUGAAGAAGUCAGAAGCACUUUGAGAUGCCACAGCUUUCCUACCAUCCCUUCUGCACACUCUCAUUUCACUAUCAACUAGGGAAGAGUGGAGUGGGGUUUGUAGCCCAUAUCAUAUCUUAUCUUUGUCCAUUGAUUCCUCUUUCCCAUAAUAGUGAAUGGAGUGUGCAGCAAAAAGGGGGUGCUUUCAUAAACAGAGCCCAGGCAAAAUCAUGCUCCUUAAGCUAACACCCACUUUUGAGUGCUGGGCCAUGUAAGGUACUUAGCUAGCAAACCUUCUCAGUGGGACAUGACAUAAUUAGGAUUGAAUAGUAAGUCUCAAGUGAGAAAUUUUCUUUUUCUUUUUAAAGGAUGCAUUUGGAUUCACAAAUCUCUCGAUCCAACGUAACUCAAGUACAGUGAUGUUUGAGUUUUUCUGAAGUGUGAUUAUUUUUUUACUGUUUGGUUUGAUGUGACUUGCACAACCUGAAAGUUGAAUUCAAUCACUUUUUCUGUUUGUUUUGCUGUAACUUGAUACUGGUGAAAUUAGUUUUUUGAGUUUUAUUAUUUAUUUUGAUAUAAGUAAGUGGAUCCUAUUACCUCCUAAGUAUAAUGGUAAACUUAUCCAUAUAAAAUCAAACCUAUUAAAUAAUUAAAUUUCUCAUUAUUGUUUAAAAGUAAUCUUAAAUCCAUUGCAAAGAAAAGUAACUCUAACCCAUUCUAAAGAAAGUAGAGUUUAAGUUUUAAUAUUUAAUAAUUUUUUUAGAGAAAGAUGAGUAUGGUGGAACUUGAGUUCGAUACUUUAGAGGGAGAACUUAAGAGUAGAUAAAGUAGAGGUUGUAGCUUGCGUUAUAUUAUAUUUUUCAACUUACAAUAAAACAAAUAUUAGAAAUGAUGGAACUUGAAUUGCACCCCUUCACUUACACCAAAACAAACAGCUCCUUACCGCUUGGAUUGGGGAUAAGGGGUGGAAUAACCCCUUAUUCCCUCUUUAUACCCAAAUGCUAAUUUUUUAUCCGAAAAUAAUAGUCUCGGGUACCUGAAAUAAACUGGUAUAACUAUUCUCACCAACACCUUCAUUUUCUAUAUAUAACUACUCACUAUUUUUCUUAUUCCAUAUUAUCUAUCCAAACGUUAUUUUUCUUAUUUCCGGAAACAAUCCCAAUUUUCAUCCAAACGCUAUUUUUCUUAUCCCCAUAUUUAUACCUAUCCCUGUAAUAGCUACUUCUUGCAGGAAGAGAGGACCAGCCAUAGAAAAAAUUAGAAGCCAAUACGAUUUAAUGAUUUUCUACUUUCCUGGUUGAUCUUCUUGUUUCUUACAGAUUAAAAGAGGAAAGCAUAAUUUCUAUGACACUUAACAAAAUAUAGUGGGAGAAUAAAUAAAAAAUUCCUAGGUAUAUAUGAUCAAAAUGACAAGUUGGAUUUUCUUUUUCACAUGAAAAAAAAAAGAAAAAAAAAAACCUGCAGCUAUUAUUUGUUGUCCAUAAUUGCUUGCAUGCCUGCCGUGUUCUGAGAAAACUUGUUGUCCAUUAAUUCUCAGAAGCCAUUCAGUGGAAUUAAUUAUAUUUUUUUGUCUGUUGCAGGAAUAUGUUCAAAGUUUCCAUAAAAAAUAUGACCAAAGUGCUUAGUUUCUAUGCAUGUAACUAAAAUACAAAUGUUGAUGCAAUCCAAAUACUAUGAUGAGACCUAGAGAUCUUAAUCUUUCCUUUGGAUUCAUUCAAUUCUGUGAGCUCAACUUCAAUAGAAGUUUUUUGGAUGAUAACUAUAAUGAGUUCUUUAAUUAUAAUUAUAUCCCUAAAAUGCUUGUGAGUGAGGAUUCCAAUGGCAUGCUUUAAAUGCAUGCAUGCUUUGGAUUUUACUGAUUAAUGCUAUACCCAUUUCCAUUGUUUGUAUCACUUUUGUAAUUGUUAUUAGAGAAUUAACAAAAAAAAUGUCACAUCAGUGUAUGUGAAAUGUUAUUAAAAAGAUUGCAUAUGAGCAAAGCAUUUUUCUAUACGUCUAAAUCUGACGCGAGAAAUAAAUGAUAUACUCGUAUUCUUGUAUAGUAUUCUCCUCUAGAUUUCGAAGAAUAGUUUGCUUUUGAGCGCUAGAUUUACUCUACUCAGAAGCUCUAGAUUCAUCAUUUGCGACACUGAACUUUACGAAACUAGGCCAAACAAGCACUUAAUAAGUCGAACGCACACACAUGCGUGACGUUUCGCUUUGCACCAGUAAAGGAAAGGUUCGAAAGAAUAAAAGUAGAUGCGUUGUGCCUAUCUAUAAGAGGUUUCGACUUCGACCCCACAUACAAAAGAAAAAAAGAAAAAUGUAGAAAAGAGAGGAAGAGGAGCAGAACCUCCUUGGAAGCAAAGGGUAAGAGCUUAGCGUGCAAAUAAAAACAGUUUUUUUUCACGCUAAAGCUGAUUAUUUUUUGCACAUUUUUUAUUUUUGCUGAUCGCAGUUAUUCGCGAAUGAAGCAUUAAAUGCAGAUGAUUACGCGCGAAGAACAAGUGUUAAUCGUUAGCUUCGUCGAAAGCUAAGGUACUCGACUAUAAAACUGUAUCUUUUCAUUGUUAAUGCCUAUUCUUAAGUUCAUGCUCUUAUUACUCAUUUUCACUUUGUUUUCUAAACAUGCAACUUAAUUACAUUCUAGUUGAUUAAAUUUGUGAGAUGAAUUAAUGCGCAGUAAUUGAAUAUUUUGUUAUCCAAAUUAAGCGAACUAUUCGUUUACCAAUGUUUUUUUUUUCGAUUUUUUCGCUUUCUAUUCUACAUAAACAAGCAAGAUAUAUAUUCUACUGUUUUGCGGUGCUUUAAUUAGAGAGAUAAUCCAAAAAAUUAACUAAUAAGCAGGAAUUAAUAAGUUUUGUUUAUGCUCCAUCAUCCAUGGUAGUUAUAAUAAUAAGUUUUGAUUUUGAUAAAAAUUUCUUUUCAAAAGUGAUUAGGAAACAAAUAGGUUACAGUUAAUUUAAUUUGGACCAAAUGGAAUAAAGCUUAAUAAUUGCUUCGCACUUUAUUAAUUCAAUUUAUCUUAUACUGUUAAUUAUCUAGGCCAUUAGUUGUAAAAUGUAACAAUAUGUUUCCUUUUUUUUUUUUUUUUUUGAAGUUUUCCCAAAUUUUAAAGCAUAAUGUUUAAAUUGAUACGUAAUCAUUAUAAAAUACCAAGUAAUGAGAAAUUUGUAGUUAAAUAUGUAUAUAUUUAUAUUCUAUUUCAUUAUUAUCAUAUUUUGUGGGGCUAUUGAAUUAGAUCAAAUUGGCUUUUCAGAGAGUACAUAAAACUAGUAGCUAGGUAUUGCCUCCUUGUUACGUUUACUGUCCCUAUCCAACCAAAUUUAUAUUCGCAAACGCUAACUCGGUCCACGAAUCAAUUCCCAUUUCUUGGAUUUCAUUUUUGGGCUAAUCAAAUUCAAAUCUACUUAAACUAUGCUUCAUCUGUUGAAAAUAAAUAUUUGAAAAAUCGAUAGUUUUUUUUUUUUUUGCUACCUGUUUUGUUUUGUUUUUUUUUAAAAUAAACUUAGUUAGAAAUGUAAAUCAAAUAGACUUCGGCUUUUUUGGAAUUGCGGGGAGAUUGCGUUACGUGCAGUGAGGAAGUGCGAUGAAAAAAUAUUCUAUUUGUUUCCGUACGUAUGUUUCGCAUAUCGCGAUUAAUCGGUAUUAACUAUCAAGUCCUUUGUUAUAUGCACUAAAAAACGGUUGAUUUUUUGAGAAUAAUAAUUAUUUUACAUAAUUUAAUAAGAAUCACAACAAGAUAUACUGAGUUCGUAUCUUAAUUACCAUACUUUUUAGUCUUAUUUAACUAUCCAGCUCUUUUAGCUGCCGCUGAACGCUGAAACCCUAAUUUGAUCCAUGUCGAACUUGAUAAAAAUCGAGUCGGAUUAGCCUGAUCGAGUUUCGUAUUAGAUUUAAUCCACCCUUAAUUACAUUCUGUCGAACAAGCCACCUAAUUUAUGAAUUGAUUACUGGACCUGACUUUAAGUCGACUCAUCGACAUCAAUCGAGCCAAUCGGAUCAAUUUGGGGUCGAAUUAAGUGGAUUAGGCUCGAAUUUGUUCCACUUCAGAGUUUGCGCCUAUUGCAUGUUAGUUUGCUUGUGUUCGGGUCGUUUAAUUAAUUCAACCCAGAAUUGUUCCACUUCAGUUCUAAACGAUCCGAACACGGGCUAGAUACGAGAUUAAGCUUGAAAAUAAACUUGAGCUGCUCAUGAGUGGCUCCUACUAGUUCGUCGUAGGAAAGAGGUUUCACGACAUUUAUUUAUAUGAUCAUACUUCUUAAUCUCAUGAGAAUAUUUUUGUACUGAAUAAGUUCUUAAUAGAAAUCUUAUUCUGACGUAUUGUGCUAAAUGAACCAAUCGAUUAAAACUAAACAAAUCCUAUAGUUUCAUUAGAGAACGUCCCACUCUUGCAGCAGUCGGACUUGCAUUCUGUGCGAUACGGUGUGCAGAAAAGUUUCGUGCAUACCUAUCCAUCAGUACUGAGAUGCAUCUAAGCUGGCAAUAUCGGAUAGCUCGAAUAUAUUCUGCCGCUGACUAUAAUAAAGUUAUUAAAUUAGGUUGAUUGUUUCUGCACAGAUCCAAAAAUAUUUAAAAAGAAAAAUUGGGUUUUAGCUAGCUAGGUGGUCCUGUUAAUUCGGCCUAGCCGUGUAAUGCAUGCAUGUGCAAUUGAUCUAAUGGGUCCCCUUAGAAUGGAGUUGCUCUCUACAGGGCUUGGUGCUUAGGGCCCCUUCGGUAUCGAGAUCCAUCUACUGUUAAUAGAUAAAAUUAAUUAAGUUGGGACGAAGCAGAUAGAGAAAUGCUUUUGCGUUUUUUUAUAGAAACUACAGAAAAUAUAUUAUAAUCGACUUACUAUUAUAUACGAAAAUAAAUAUGAUAUUUUUUUUUAUAACGCAAUUUUUCUACAGUCCUAAACAGAGCCUUAAGCUCUUGUUACGUUAGUAAACUUUUCCUUUUCAUAGGAUUUGUUUAUAUGCAAGAGAAUUGUGGUCCUAAAUUAAUUAGGUUUUAAAUAGGUGGUUCAAUUUGAUUAAUGACGUAUUAACCGCCGCAUAUAUGUGUCGUGCCGCCUUUUCUUUUCCUAAUUUGGAAAUGGGGUUUGAUGCAAUUUUAGGAUACUUAAAAAAAUAUUAAGCACUUCAAUAUUUUCCUUUUUGACACUAUAAAAUGGUUGUAUACAUGACCUGAAUGUUAGAAAUAUACUGUACUGAAAAUUCGAUCGUGAUUAAAAUCUAAUUAAUUUUGUGAUAAAGAUAAAGACGAAUGUAUAGAUAAACGCAAUUAUCCAAAUAAAAACGUGACCUUAACGGGAAGCAAAUUAGAUUGUAUUGGAAUAAAAUGAAAUGACGAAUCAUCCAAAGAUUUUUAUUUUGUUAUUAGUAUGAAAACUGGAAUGGACAGUUACGAUUUUGAGAGAGGGUUUUGGUUGAGAGAGGAGAGUGAUGAAGAGAGAGAAGAGAGAGGCGUUUGUGAGAUAGGAUUUUGAGUUGUUUACUUUAGAAUGAGCCCGUCGAAGAUUCAAAGCAAGAUUGGAUCAUCCCAUUCCAAUCCCAUUCCAGGGUGAAAUAAGAAUUAGAAUUUGAUUCCUUUAAAACAAAUAACAACUAUUAUAAUUAAUGAAUCCAAGAACUCAUGGCUCAGUUUGAACCUCUGAACUUUAGGAUAGUCCUAUGGAUAACAACCAACUGCAUUGAGUAAGGAUGAGAGAGAGAGAGAUAGUGGUUUGAUAGUUAAGUUCCUUCUAUUUAUGAAAAGUAAGGAUUUUUAUUAUGGUAGCGCAAACAAGUGUUUAGGCAUCCAAUGUUACUUUUUUUUUGAGAAAAAUAGCAUAUUACAGCUUCAUUUAAUUAGAAAAUAAACUGAACUAUAGAUUAAGGCAACCUGGGCCUCGAAAAAAAAGGAAAAAGAAAAAAGGACAAAGGAAAAGAAGAUUACAUGCAAAAACGUUCCCAUGAAUCAAACCAAGAAUAAUUAAGAUAAAUCUGAUUAAAGUAGAAGAAGACAUUUCUCACUAGUUUACUGUUUUGUUGUUGUUGCUGUUGUUGUUGUUGUUGUUGUUAACUUGUUAUGCAUCAUCUUCUUUAAUGCUUAAUGUGCCUACUCUACCUUUUCGACUUGUCAUUUAUCAUCUAACUAAUUACUUGCACUUAAUUUUAAGUCCAAUUGAAACAGGAAUUUGGUUGGUCUUUCUAAAUUUCUUACUUACUAUUAAUUGGGGCCUUUUUAAAGGAUCUCUUGGUAUCCUAUUAAGUUAAUUUUCUUUAGAUAUUUGGAACCAAUUUGUGUUAAAAAUAGAUGAAAUGAAGCAUGCGUAGAACCUAAGAAAAGAACACAAUAAAUCAAAGGGACAAAGAUAUAUAUCUAGGUAGGUAUAUAUCCCUAGUAGAAUGUUCCCUUGUACGUUCCCUUCUUAUUAAGGUUACAGCAUGAAAGUGCAUUCCCAACUAAUUAUAUAAUAAAUCAUUAUUGUUCAUGUAAUGCUUCUUCUAGUCUAGGAUAUUAAUUACUACCUAUAGUACGUGUGUGUGGCUCUUAGCUAGGGAGAAAUUAUUACUAGAUGUGUGCAACUACAUUAUCAUGAAUCACACCAACUAAAUUAAAUGCAAUAUAUAUACCUCUCAAAUUGUACGCAUACGUAGAAUUAGAAAGUUUUUUAUUUAUUGACUAGAUCAAUGUGGAACCUGUGUUCAGUCUAGUUUAUGCAUAUCAAUCUCGUAAAUCAUAUGGAUGUUAUGAUUUUAUGUGCACAUAACUGUGCGUGGACAUGGCAAAAUUUUUUAGGAUCUAUAUAUUUUUCUCUCUAUUUUUUUGCUUGAUCUAUGCAACGAUCAAAAAAACUUAUUUUUCUAGUCUAAUUCUAUGAAAUAACUGAUUAUUUUGAAAGUUUAAACUAUUGAAGAAUAAUACUUCUAAUAUUUUAUACUUAAUAUUAAUUCUCCUUCACAUCAGGGUUAAUCGCGAUUUGAGAUUUUCUUUGUAAUAGGCCCAAGAAGCAGAUUUAAAAAAUGAGUGAAAGUAUACAGGAUUAAAGAGUUCUACAAUAUUCAAAUUUAAAAUUUUUUUAUUCUGAUAUGAGGUGAAAAAAUGUUAAAUUAUGCGAAACAAUUGUUGCUUUCCAAAAGUUUAAACUAUUGGAGACGUUUUUAAUGUCUAUAUUCAACACUUACAUCUACGCUUAAAACUUCUUGAUGCUUUAAGAGGUAGACUUGAAUUAAAUGGAAAUACCAUAUCAAAUUAUAGGAUCAAGAAGUGGCUUGAACUAAAAUGGGAAUGUCAUGUCAAAUUAUAUGGUAUAAUUAUUGUUCUUUAAAAGCUUAAACUAGUAGAGAACAGUAUUUUUAAUGUUAUAUUUAACACUUUUAUUCUUGUCGUGACUCAAGACAUUUUAAUAAACUCAAGACAUGAACUUAAAUUAAACGGGAGGAAAAUAAAUAAUGCUAAGAACUUGGUAAGAUUCGAAGUGUUUUUAAUAUUUAUAUUUAACUCUUUCACUCGUGGCCGGACUUGAGACAUUUUGAUAGGCCUAUGACAUGAACUUUAAUUAAAUUGAAGAAAAUUAAAUAAUGUUAAGAACCUAGCAAGAUUUGAAGUGUUUUUAAUAUUUAUAUUUAACAUUCUCCCUCACAUCUGAACUCGAAAUAUUUUAAUAAACCCAAGACAAUGACUUGAAUUAAAUGAGAGGAAAAUAAAUAGAGGACUUGAACUAAUGAGAGGAAAAUAAAUAAUGCUAAGAACCUUGCAAGAUUCUAACUUAUGACGUUUAGCUCUGAUAAUAUGUUAAAUUAUAUAAAAGACCAUUUUUCUCCGAAAGCUUAUACUGCCAAAAAAUGAUAUUUUUAAUAUCUAUAUUUAUGCACAACAAUUGUUAUUUUUCAAAAUAUUAAGCUAUUAGAGAAUAAUAUUUUAAUAUUUAUAUCUAACACUCUUCCUAAAUGUUGACUUGAAUUAAAUGAAAAAAAAAAUUAUGUUAGGGGCUUGGCGGGACGCAAAGUCAAAAUCUCCUCUGAAAGAAUAAGUUGUCAGAGAACAUUAUUUUUAAUAAUUAUAUUUAACAAAAGAUCUAUUACUUUAAAAUCUUAAGUUACUAGAGAAUGAUAUUUUUAAUAUUUAAUAUCCAACAAGUCAGUUUUACCAUGCCUUAAAAAAAUGAUGAUGAUUUUCCUCCUGAAGCCAAUUGUGUAUGUUAAUCCUAGUCUCAAUCAACAAACUCCAACUAUAUAUAUAUAAUGCAUCACUUUAACCUACCCCUUAGUUAAAAUGCCACUAUCACAAUUAAUUGAGCUCCUAUAUUAAUGAUCAUUCUUAUUUAUGAAAUGAUUUUGAUGAAAAUCUACUUAACUUCCUGAAGAAAUUUCAAGCAACAUUAAGUGGGUGAAUUAAGAUGGUAAUUAAGCAACCUAUAUUGAAAUUGAAAUGCAGUUAAUCUCCUCUCUCUUUAUUCUCUUUUGCUAGCUUAGAAAGGAAGCAACAAAACUACUUGAAAAUAUUUAAUUAGGUGGCUUAAUUUGUGUGAUUAAGAUUUGUGAACAAAAACUCUAUUUGCAGAUCACUUGAGCAUGCAGAGUACUGAGGUAUCAACCACAAAGAGAGGAAAUUAUGGGAAAUAAAUUAAAUGCAAAUACUUAUUAACUUUAAUGCUCACAUAAAUUAGUUUCUUCAAUAAGAGAAAUGUUAUCUAUGAUUGAAUCCUUAACCUGGACCAUUAAUUAAUUUCAUGCACGUACUAUCUCUCACUUAAAUUUCUCUACCAGACACUUUGACUUAAAUGCUUCAUAUGUACAUGAGAAAAUGACCAAAGAAAUGGAGCAAAUUUGCAUGAUAGUAACAAAAAAUAAAAAGAAGAAUAAAAUGGUGCAAAAUUAAUUGUUCUUCACAAGAAUUGAAAUAAAACAACAAAAAUAUGUAUGCUAUAAAAUAGAAGAUAUACAUAAAUAGACGAAAAUGUAUGAACAAAUUCAAAUAUUGAACUUGAAACCUCUCAAAGUGGAAAACGCUUAUGACCGUCUCUGAUACCAUACUAUCAAAAAAUCAAUAUAGUAAACAACAAUUCAGGAUUAAUUAGUUUGUAGUUUCCAAAAAGAAAAAUGAAAAAGGAUAUGACAAACAAAAUAGAAAAACAAUUUAAUUCAAGGAUCCAACUCUUACUGUUAUAUAUAGAAAUUAAAAAGCUAUUGAAGAUAUUUAAUUUUUUUGGAAAAAAACUGUUAAUGCCUCAACUUAAUGGAUUUGUAACUAUCCAAGACUAUAUAUAGGGCAAUAGAAAAAUUAAAUUGGCCCACUUAAGUGCAUUUUCACUUAGAUCUCUUGUCCUAAAUUCGAUUAAUUAUAUAAUAACUUGAACUUAAUUAACUAAGCAAUGGAUUAAUAAAUUAAACUCUUCAAUAUCGUGUUUUCUAAGGAUUGGAGUGUAGAUCACCUUCUAGCAAAGCUUACCCCCAUCAACUUAACUCAAGGUGGUGGCAUAAUUGCAUAAAUGGACCACGGUUAUACGUGACAUUAUUAAUAGAAAGAGACAACAGUGAUAUGUGAAUUAUUAACGGAAAUAAUUAAUUUUGAUGUUAAUAUAUGAAUUUCUUGAAUCCAGUCGCUGUUUAUUUAACAAAUUUCAUGUAUUAAUGUCAAUGAGUCACUCUUAUUGCUUAGAGAGGUCAAAAUCUUGUAUUGUAGCGGUAGGUCAGGUUAGGUCAAAUUGUGUUUAAAAUAAUAUUGAGUUACGAUCGAGAUCAGUAGGUGUUAUUCUUGUACACUUUUAAUGAAUUAAUUAUAUAAUUCUAAUAGCUCGACGUUUUAGAAUUAACCCUAUAAAUAAUAUCAUUUUUGUUAUAAAAUUGUUUAUUUUAUUUUUUCUUUUUAAACAAGAAGUUGGUUCGGUAUCUCUAGUACAAAAAUAAGGCAUUUAUCAGUAAACUGAUAAUAUAUUAUACUAUUUGACCAUAAUCUAAGAAUAGGAGUAAAACUGAUUUCACCAUAAUCUAAGAAUAGGAGUAAGAUUAGCUUUGGUUCUUUAUCUAAGACUUAAUUUGGCAGUCCCUCCACGUUGUUUUCUCCAUGUCCUUUUAUUAAUUAAUUAAUUAAUAUUAUAUUACUGUUUCCUCAAAUUUGUAUAUUAAAUUUUUUCUAAAAAUCAUUUUCUCCUCAACUUUGUACUGUUUCUCUCUCUCUCUCGCUCUCUCUUCCCUCUCCAGCAACGGUAUUAUGAGUAGCCGUCUCCCUAGACCGGUUGUACGCACGUCAUCAUCCGGUUUUUAUGCUGCGCCGGACGACGUGUCGCGGAUUGAUUAGUCGGGUCUACUGGACCAGGUACGAGAAUUACAUUGACCGGCCUCUAACAUGGCCUAUUCCUUCGCCAUCACCCUUCUCUUUGUUAACACAUAAAUCCCAAAAUAUAGUAAUAAGUGUUUGUAGACCAAAUCCCAAUUCCGAAUCUCUCCUCCUGUGUAUGUAAAGUAAAACACACUCGCUAGUCGCUCACUCACGCGCCCCAAAAACCAAUAUCGUAUUUUAGCAAAUUAACUCGUCUAGAUACUACAAAAAUAUCCCACUAAUUCAACCCAAAAAUAAGGGAACAACACUCUCUAAACAUAAACAUAUUAUACACUCUCUCUAUCUCCUCACUCCUCAAGUUUCUCUACUUCCUCAAACAACAGCAGUAGUAGAAGAAGCGACCCUAAGCGAAGGGAGAAAGAGGAAGCGCUUCCGGUGAGAUUACCGCCCCCAUCUUUUGAAACGUAUUUGGGAACGAGAAGACGAUAAUAUAGCUCGAGCUCGAGAUCGAGAUCUCGCCACCGACAAUGGUGGCCGCCGCCGCCGGGGUGAAUCCGCAGCGCCCACCGCUGAUCCCGUCGGAGAAGGACAAUGCCGGCGCCGCCGCGCUCCCAAACGCGCGGCGCCGCAGCGCUAAGGAGGUCACCUCCCGCUACCUCUCCUCCUCCUCCUCCUCGUCCUCUUUGACCUCCACCUCCACCUCCACCUCGACCUCGUACUCUUCUUCUUCUUCUUCGACCUUUACCACCACCUCGACCUCGCGGCGCUUCCCCUCCCCGCUCGCCGCCGCGCGGCCCUCGACCCCCUCGCCCGGAGCCUCGACUGCUCCCUCGACCGGAAAGACUCCAUCUUGGCCACCGUCCACCUGCUGCAGCGCUCCAUGGUGCUCGACGACCCCACCCGGCGCGCCUCCUUCGACGCCGCCGAGCUCUCCGCUUCCUCCGAUACGGAGAGCGUCUCCUCCGGGAGCAAUUCGGACCUCGCCACACCCGCUCGAUCGAAAGCCCCGCCCCGGGGGAUCAUCGUCCCCGCGCGGUUCUGGCAGGAGACGAACAGCCGCCUCCGCCGCUUGCCCGAGCCCGGAACGCCUCUGCCCACGAAACCAGGGCUUGCUUCGCCGCCCGGUAACCGCAUGCCUUCUCCGGCGAGAGGGAUGACCAGCCCUUUGAGGGCGCGGGGCGGCUCCGUUCCAGUUAUUCAGCUGGCGAAUGCGCCUUCUAUAAUAAGCUUCGCGGUGGAAGUGAGGAGGGCGAAGAGAGGGGAGAACCGGAUAGAGGAGGCGCACGCGUUGCGGCUACUGGAUAAUCGGCAUUUGCAGUGGCGGUACGCGAACGCGAGGGCCGAUGCCGUGCUUCUGGCGCAGAGAUUGGCCACAGAGGUAACUGAUUGCUAAUAAUGCUAUUGCUGUUGGUGUAUUUCAAAUUCAGAUGUUCACAGAAAUUGCUUAGUUCAACAUAUAAUUUGACUUAUUUCGUUUGCACCUUUGAUUUGUAGAGGAAACAUCAUACUUGCUUCCCAUUUCGUAAUUCUUUUACUCGGGUUUAUAAAACCAUAAUUUGUUAGUGCAUCGCCUGAUCUUCGGUAUGUCUCUUGAUUCGAUGAUCAUGCAAAUUUGGAAUUGUAGCAACUUGUUAUAUUUGGCUUUGUCGUAAUUCGUUAUCUUUCAUAUUGCUUAAUGAAACUUAGAAGGUAUCCUGCAAUAAGAUAACGAUUGCUAACUUGCUUAAUAAUUGCAUGCUGCAUCUGGAUAUCCUGUGUCAUUUUCUUGUUAGCGGCUACUUAAAUCUGUAACGGCAGCGACCAUCAUAUGCUCAUUAAUUUCUUCGUUUAGAAGUGCCAUUAUGAUUAAAUUUGGGUUCAACUAGGAGUGGCAUGCAAGUCUUAAGCUCUGGCCACCUUCAAUGUUGACGAAGUAAUCAAACAAUUUUGUGAAGUAGGAAACCAAAAAAUUGUCAAAACAGAGAACCGUGCAUGCAAAGCUUACAGUUGCUAAAACAAGUAUCACAACACUGCUCCAAUCUUGCCAGGGUUCUUCUGGGUCUCUCUCUCUCUCUCUCUCUCUCUCUCUCUCUCUCUCUCUCUCUCUCGUUCGCUUGCGUGCGCAUGCGUAUUGGGCUUGUGGGAGGAUCUUAUUGUCAUUUUCUGUAUCAAGAUUUUUUGGUCAUUUUUAUCUGAGAUGUGUAGCACUAAGUGCUCUAACCUGCAUUUGUUGAUUAGUCUAUUAACACUGGUCACUUUGAAGAUAGCUUGUGCUUGUACACAAUUUUAGGGUUGUUUGAAAACCCAGGUGCUAAUAUUCUUUCAUACACGCCAUAUAUUUCUAAGAUUUAUCUUUGAGCACUCUGGUGGAUGGCUCUUUGUUUAGCUAUUAUUUUUGGUAGUGAUUUGCAUCCACACUUGAGAAAAUUGAUUGUUUUUCUUUAUUUUGUCUCAGAAAUAUGCUUAUGAUCUUAUCUACUGAUACUUGUUUUAUUGUUGUCAGAAAAAUUUGUAUAAUGCGCGGAUAAGUAUCUCAGAAUUGCGUAACUCUAUCACUGCCAAGCGUAUUAAGCUCCAACAUCUGAGACAAUGUAUUAAACUAAGUACAGUUCUCAAAGGACAAGUAAGUUCUCUCGUCGUUUCUUUAUUUACCAGUUAUAUCUACAGUUACUCCAUUUCACCAUUUCUUAGUAAUUUUGCUCUGGAGUACAACAAUGAUAUUGGACAAAUAGCUAAAUAUGUAUAAGGUUUCAGAAUUCCAGUAAAUGCUUUCUUAUUUACCUAGAUAGCAAAACACAUUAAGAAAAUAAUUUGCGAAGGCCUAAGUUAUAGUGAUAAAUACAAACUGUUCAGGGCUAGAAAGAUUAAGGAUGAAUUGGGGAACCAGUCAUAUCUACUAUUGUAGAUACUCUGAGCUACAUACAGACUGUCAUGAUAAUGCUCAUUUAUCGCUUAAAAAAGAUAAGAUAAGAUCAAGCCCUGCAGUGCCGUGAUUCAUACCCACGCUACAAUGGCAUGUUGGUUGUGCUACUGACAUGCUACCCUUGUGUCAGACAUGCCCUGGCAUGGGAUAUUUGUUCAGAACAUUUAAGCUAAAAGCUCCAUGUCACAGAAUAUGAUGGAUGUUCAAUUAUAAUUCUAAGAGUUUCAAAAGUAUUAAUUGAUAGAAUUUCUCACUACUCCUGGGUGAAGUUCCUUGAAAUUUGAUUGAAUUGAGAAUUGAAAGUAGGGAAAAGUAAUGUUUUCCAAUACUGGGAAAUGUAGGUUGAAAUUUGGAAAAUAUUUCAUGGCAAAAAUAAAUCUGAUUUCAUUAAAUUAUCUUAUGCAAUUAUAAGAAGCAAGCUUACGCACAGUGGCUUGUUCAAAAAGAUUCACAUGAUUUUUUUUCAAUUUUAUCAAAAGAUCUACAUAGAAGGGACUAACAGUUAGCAAAUGGCCUUAUUAAAAUAUUAUCUGAAUAAACUGCUGAAGUUAAGAAACAUUGCUCCUAAGACAUGAAACAAAAGGAGUGCAGAUUGCUUUUCUACGACCUCAUUGCCUCCCUUGUUUCUUGAAGAUGUUUCUUGCAACUUCUUUGAGGUUGGUUAUUGGUAAAUCUGCUCACUUAAUGUGAAAAUUAAAUGUUUCCAUGUGAUUAUUUUACAGAUAAAUUAUCUGGAAGAGUGGUCUCUUCUCGAUAGAGAUCAUUCAAGUUCGUUAUCAGGAGCUAUUGAAGCAUUAAAGGCUAGCACGCUUCGUCUUCCAGUUGUAGGUGGUGCAAAGGUUUGUUCCGAUCUGAUAUUGGUUAGUGGUUUGAACUUACAUAUUUCUGAAGACUAAUAGCCGCAUUCUCUUUGACAGGCAGAUGUCCAAGAUAUGAAAGAAUCUGUCGGGUCAGUAGUUGAUGUAAUGCACACAAUGGGAUCAUCUAUAUACUCUCUACUGUCAAAGGUAGAUCCUUUAUUAUAUUCUCUUACAACAUCUUAUGUAUUAAAAAACUCUCUCUCUCUCUCUCUCAUGUUAGAUUUGAAUUCUUCAGGUAGAAGGAACAAGUUCCUUGGCGUCCGAACUUGCUAAAGUGGCGGCACAAGAAUUAACUCUGUUGGACCAAUUAAGAGAUGUCUUGUCCACUGUGGCAGUCAUGCACGUAAGGCAAUGUAGCCUUCAGGGGCAUUUAUUGCAACUAAAAUAGCGUCGGAGCUAGGCACAGUUGUAAAGCAAAUUCUCUCACCAACUCUGUGAUUACUAACAUCAAAGCGGCCUCUUUGUUUCCUAACUGAAGAUUGCGACAAAAGGUAAUAAAUCAUGGCAGUUUGUUUGCUGCAUCUUGAGAGUACUAGUUCUCCCUGUUUGUUUGCUGCAUCCUUGAGAGUUCUAAUUCUCCCUGUUGAUUUUCACCAAAUGCAGCUAAUUCAUGUAUUUUUGUCUACAUAACAUUAUGAGUGGCUCUUUUUCCUGCAGUGAUUUCAGGAGAUGUAUACAAAUUACUUGUGCUUAUAAAAGAAAAGCUUAUGCAUAUAUAUGUUUAAAUUUAGUGUUUUUUAGUUAAUUUCUUUUUAGAAGAAGAAAAGGUCAUAUAACUCUUUUAUCUCUACUGAAGCACUUCUUGUCUCAUCAAAUGGUUUUAGGAAAAAGGAAAUGAGUAGAGUUCAACCUACACCGAAGUAGGUAAUGAACAACAGGAUACAGCAGUAUCUCUUUACUGUAAGUAUGAUUUAAUUGUAAGUAUGAUUACCUAUAUAACACAGCAACUGGUAGUCGCCACUAGCGUCAAAAAACAGCUAUGACAACUUUGUAGUCUCUGUGUAAUCUUUUUUUUGUUUUUGAGAUCAUUGUUAUUUGCCUUCAUCUUUUGGCUUAUUCCUUACUUCCCCUUCUCCCUUUGCAUUAUUUAAUCUUUGAUGUUCAUGUGAUCUUCUAGGUACUGUUUUAGUGGCACAAAAAAACAUUUAUUAAUUGCAUGUAUAAAUUUUGCUUCAUUAAGAAAUUAUACGAAAUUAUAUUGUAGCUUUUUCUGAGUUUUCUCAGGAUUCUAACUAUUGACAAUUGUUAACUGCAGCUGACAUGAUUUUUUUUUUUUUUUUUUUNCAGAAAAAUUUGGAUCCAAUAUAAAUUGCCAAACACAACUAAGUUAAUGGCAGUAUAUAAUGGAACAAGCGCGAAUCAGUCACUGAUUUGAUAGAGAACUAUAAACCUAUUUUUCUGCCUCAUUGUUUCUUUUAGUAAAGGUAUUAUUUUAAAGGCAACUAAAUAGACUCCUUUGAAGGAACUUUAUUUGUCGUAUUUUCUCUAUCAAAUCAGUGACUGAUUCGCGCUUGUUCCAUUAUAUACUGCCAUUAACUUAGUUGUGUUUGGCAAUUUAUAUUGGAUCCAAAUUUUUCUGGGUGUGAAUUACCUGCUACUGCUGGGUUUUUUCUUAUUAUUUAUUUUUUGCAAAUCAGUCCCUCAAUGAUGCUAUCACUCAUGGGCUCAAUAUUGUUGUAGGAUUGUUUUGCUACCCUUAAUCAGGCUCAAACCCAAGUGAAUCCGAACACAACAUUGGCCCGAAUGAAAAUCGCAGAGACCCGGCCCGUUAUAUAGUGAAAACUUGGAUCUUGGUAAGCCCGAUAGGACUAUCUUUCAUUUUCCCCUUGCCUGCAAUAUAACAGGAGAAAAGUUAAAGGUGCCAAAUUAAUGGCUUUUGUUUAGUUUUAGUAUUAGUAAUUCAUCGGGCCUGAACUGUAUGUAGAUACUAGUCGAUUUUUUUGGACGUUGCAUUUGGUAUCAGAGUCGUAGAUAAUAACGGGGUCGGAGAUAUUUGAUUGCGGGUCCCGUGUUUCAGGGCUUUUUUCUUUUCCAAUUUAAAUCUUCCAAAAAGAAAAAUUUGGUAUCUAGUCUUGUCAAAAUUUUAUUAUGAUAAAUAACUUUCUUUCUUGAUGCAUAAGUGUCAUGACAUAACAGAUUAUGAAAAUUUACAAAGACGGUGAACUAUUUACUAUUUGCAUGCGGUGGUGUCACAUUGCAUUAAAGCCCUAUUUGUAGAUUUGAGAUAUUUGAUAUUUGUGCGUACGUAUUCAACAAUUGCGUUCUGGAUUGAGAAGAGAAUGUAUACUUACGUUGCGUUCUGGAUUGAGAAGAGAAUGUGUUACGUUAUCAUAAAAGAUAUCACGUUGCGUAGAUCAUAAUGAUUUCGUUAAAAUAGUAUUUUGCCAUCCUAUUGAGGAAUAAAUAAGGUUAACUCUCAAUAUUUUUUACUUUAUAUAUGUUCGGUUCUAACUCACGAGCAUUAAUAACUCGCAGGCCUAACCCAAUGGCUCAAAAUGUUCAAGUCCGAUUAUUAAUAUUAGUGUGUUCGUCAUGUAUAAAUUUCUCACAUUCGUUCAUAUUAUCUGAUGUAAAAUUAUCAGAAUGGUACACUUUGAUUUACUUUUUAGCUAAAUAAUAAUAAUAUAUAGCCCUCAAUACGAAACAGGCAAUCUCAUCAAAUCAGCCGCGAAUUUGCGUACAUUUUAGCAUUUGAGAAUCUUCGCGUCCUACUGCUAAUGCUUUUUUUGAGAGAUAGGUAGCACUCUACCCGCUUCGUUUAUUUUAUUUUUGAAAAUAAACUUAGCUGGAAAUGUGAAUCAACUAGAAUUCGAACUUGGGUCUCAGAUACCAACCACCAAGCCCUUUGCCACUUGCUCUAGGGACGGUCGGUCUGCUAAAAUGCUAUUAUGCCAACCAAACUAAUCAAAGGUUUCCAGGUUGGGCUCAGCGUGGCGCGUGGACGCCAUGCACUAGUAAGAUUCUUUUCCCAUGGAGCAAAUAUAUAUGCACCACACAUUUGGGAAUAUCAACACUGGAAUUGUGUUAGUUUACUUCGAAUAUCUGCACAUAAAUAAAUAUAUAUAGCAAAUAAUUAGUUAUUAGGGACAAAAAUCAUAUGAAAAGGGGGUGGGUCAACCAAAUUGCGGUUCAAUGUCCCGUCGUAAUUCUCAUCCACUUGUUUGAUGCCUUCGAUUAGUGGAAAGAAUGUUUGAAAUCUUGACCACACUUUGGCUUUUUCUGCAAGCAGUCGAUAGGUUUACAUGCCAUUUACACGCACUGGAUGUUCUUUUAAUUUUUGGAGCAAAGAAAGAAUUAUUUGUUUUUUUUUUUUUUUUUUUUGAAGUUCUUUUAAUUUUGUGGUUUGUUUGGGAGAACAUUAUAGGCAUAAAACUAAAGUUUCCCACCAUCAAUAACUUAUUAUUAUUAUUAUUAUUAUUAUUAUUUGGGCGGGGAAAGAUACAAUGAACCAAAUAAUAGAAGUGGAUAUUUAUAACUGAGCAGUGCUCUCGUCUCCACUUUGGUGAAACAAACACAUCCAAAAGUAAGUAGCAUGUUAUUAUUGAACAAAAAGGGCUAAAAAAUAUCUUAGGGCAAAAGCAUCUAGAAAUACGCUUUCUCAUUUUUCGAUAAACCUGUAGAAAUUAUAUUUUAUUUGAUGUGUAAAUAUGAUAUUACUUACAAAGGCGAAUAGUCUAUAUUUCUAUCAUCUGUUACCAAAAUCAAAAUCGAAAGAAACUAAAAUUGAACUCGGGAUCCCAGAUAUUAACUUUUGAGACGUCAGGCAACGCUACUAGGUAUAUAUUAUACGGUUUAAUUUGUUGAGCCUGAAUAGUGUAUUAAUGGCAUUUAUCUAAUCAUUUAUAAUAAAUAAAGCUCAUUAAUAAAACAAAGAGCUGGCUCUUUCUAUAUAUCUUGUCAAUCUACAACAAAGAGUGCAUGCAUGAGAUGUAAAAUUUUAAGACAUGCAUUGUAUCCGUCGCUCGUUCGCUCGUUCGUGCAGCUGCGGCGGCGGCGAUUGUAGUUUCUGCGCGCCCCCCUCCUGCGGAGGAGGAAUUCUACACUGUCAUACUUACACCACGUCAUCAAUUAACAAAUCAAUCACAUUCCUUCUUUUCAAACAAAAGUGCAAUAAAAAUACUUUUUUACAAUCAUGAUGGAACGUAUAUUCUUAAAAGAAUUAAUUUGAUUGGUUUGUUACGCCACGUCACUAAUACACCUGUUGCAUUCUAGAAUUUUUCCCUGCGGAGAGUCUAGACUCUCUCUCUCUCUCUCUCUCUCUCUCUCUAUAUAUAUAAUGGGUUUAAUUGCACACAGGUUCCUGUAAAUAUAGUAAAUUAUAAAUAUAUUUCUAUAAAGUUUAACCUUCAUAUAUUAUUUCUAUAAAAGUCUUAAUAUUUUCAAAUAUAUUUCUAUCGUAGAAUUCAUUAGAAAAAUUUAGAUAAUCAUAGAUUAAAUAUUUAAUCCUGAUUAAUUUAUAAGAUAACUUGAUAUUUUUGCUCCUCUUAUAUUAUACUGUUGUGACUUUUGAAAGACAUAUUUGUGACGACAAAAUUGAAAAUAUAAAUAGUUUUUAACGGUUCUCUAACGAUAACAAACCAGAAAAAAAUAUUUGAAAAUAUUAGAAGUUUUGUAGGAAACAAUAUAUGAAAGUUGAAUUUUGUAGAAAUAUGUUUGUAAUUCACUAAGUUUGCAGGGACAUGUAUGUAUUUAACCCUAAUAAUAACCUCUCUGGGACAACUAUGUCCUGGACAAUACAUAUAACGCUUUUUAAAUUCUCUAUUUGACGUGCGUGUCGUAUCCGAAAAGUUUACUAUAUAAAGUUUAUACUAUAUAUCAUCAAUAAUCAAUCAAUUAUAUUUUUUAUUUAAAAAAUUUAAUAAAAAUAAUUUUUUAAUAAUUAUGAGGGGACAUAUGAAUACAAAGGAAACAAUCUUAUUUGUUAAGAUUGCCAUAUCAGCAAUAUAAUUAGUAUAUUCUAGAUAUUUUCGUUAACACCAUAACUUCAAGGCACAAAAGUUACACCAAAGUUCUUGGAGGACUCUUUGCAAUUUAAUACCAAAUAGUUUAAAUAAUACAAUUUUUGUAUAGAGUGUAAUUUAGUCUCAAAUAUUAUAAUUUUAUUUCAAACAGUGUAUUUUUUUCUUUUUUCUCUACAUCUUAGCCUUUCUUAUAGCGACCACGACAAAUGGUGGCCUUCCAAGAUGAAGAAAUUUUUUUAUUUUUUUAUUCUUUUUCGCAUCCAUUUUCGCCAUCGUGCAUCCCUCUCCCGUCCUCUAUCUGCUGUAGCAACUGGCUCCGUCACAACUUCAUCACCAUGAUUUAUGCUAUAUCUGACACUACAACAAAAACGGUCUAUAGCGACACUUUUAAAUGUAGGUACAUGUCAAAAAAGUGCUGCUAGCUAAAAUUACCGACACUUUUAAAAAGUGUUGCUAUAUGUGGGGUCGCUAGGUAUAUAGUGACAGUUAAAGAGUGUCGCUAUAACCUAAAAGAGUGCUACUAAUUUACGAACACUUAUUUAAGCAUUUAGCAACCGCCGAAACUUUAUCUCGUUAGCUGCGGUAGCGGAGGAGGACGACAGGAAAGGCUAUUCGUCUAGAAUUUCAGUGGAUUGAGUGAAGAGAGAAGAAAAUAUGGCAAUUGAUUUUUCUUUUUUUUUUUCUUUUCUGUUUGUAAUCGGGCCAAAUGGACUGGGUGUGGUGGGUUGAGUAGAGUAAUCUUUUAUUUUUGGUUGGAUUGGACUUUAUAUUUAGGCAUUAGCAGAUAUUUUUUUAAGUUUUAGCAUAAAUGGGACACUUACUCAAAAGUGUCCCAAACAUGUGUCCCUAUAACCUAAUUCUGUUGUAGUGUGAGCUCGCGUCGCCGCCGCUGGCAUUGGAAGAGAUGUGGGCGAAGUCGGGGAGAUGCAGUGAAUAAGAAAGAGGAGGAAGAGAAAGCGGAAGGAGAAAAGGAGGAAUGGACGGUGAGAAAAAGGGAGACAAAGAGAGAAAAAAAAAAAGGGACGAGAGGAAGAAAGGAAAAAUAUAAAUUAAAAAAGAAUAAAAAUAUUUUGAUUAGUUUAUUGAAAAAUUAGACUUAAUCUGCAAAAUUCAAAAAAAAAAAAACAUAUUUUUUGCAAAAAUGCAAAAAUGGUGAAUUUUUAAUACAAAUUGGCUAAAAAUAUGGUAAUUAUACAUAAUUUAAAAUAUUAAUGGAAGAAAUUUUUUUCUUAUUUUGAUUGUCUAUUAUUGUGAUUGUCUAUCGGCUUGCAUGCAUUACAUUCUCGCUAAAUAAUAAAUAAUAAUUCAUUUAAAAAUUUGAAAAAACUAUUAUUUUUUAGUUUUUGUUUUUAGUUACUAAAUAUAUUAAAACUUUUGAUGCAAGGAUUGUAAGCAAUUUACUAUCCUUUCUAUACAAUUUCAUGUAAAAAUUCUAUGAAAAAAAUUAAACAAAAGAUAACAACGCCAUACAGGACCUCAUUUUCCAAAAUGAUAUUUUAAAUAUUAAUUCUUUUCAAAUGAAUUGUAAUAUUAUUCUUGUUUAGAUUUUUUAUUAUCUCAUUUGGUACAAUAAAAUUAGUUUAAAAUAUAUCUCAGGUGUUCUAAUGUCACAAAAAAAGAAACUUUUGUCUCUACGACUUGCCUAGCUUGCUCCAAGUAUAGAACGUGGCUUUCGCUCAUUCCAAUCUUAUUUGGAUAUAAAAGUAUAUAUCUUAUUCGGUAUAUUUUUUUGAUUUACUUAACAUACUUUUAAUGUAGGUACGUACCGAGUGUCGUCAACAAUCUGAAGUGGAAUACCAUAUUUAACAUUCUAAGUCCAUAUUUUUCGAAAUGUGAUAAAUUAGUAAACUAUCUAUCACUACAACAGAAUUAGGUUAUAGGAACACAUGUUUGGGACACUUUUGAGUAAGUGUCUCAUUUAUGCUAAAACUUAAAAAAAUAUCUACUUAUGCCUAAAUAUAAAGCCCAAUCCAACCAAAAAUAAAAGAUUACUCUACUCAACCCACCACAUCCAAUCCAUUUGACCCGAUUACAAACAGAAAAGAAAAAAAAAAGAAAAAUUAAUUACCAUCUUUUCUUCUCUCUUCACUCAAUCCAAUGAAAUUCUAGACGAAGAACCUUUACUGUCGUCCUCCUCCGCCACCGCAGCCAACGAGAUAGAGUUUCGGCGGUUACUAAAUGCUUAAAUAAGUGUUGGUAAAUUAGCAGCACUCUUUUAGGUUAUAGCGACACUCUUUAACUGUCACUAUAUACCUAGCGACCCCACAUAUAGCAACACUUUUUAAAAGUGUCAGUAAUUUUAGCUAGCAGCACUUUUUUGACAUGUACCUACAUUUAAAAGUGUCGCUAUAGACCGUUUUUGUUGUAAUGUAUAAUUUAUAACUAUAUAUAUUAUUCCUCAAUAACUAUGCAUGCAUUACAAAACCAAAGAGAUAUAUUAAAAGAAUAAGAUGUUAAUGCAACCAAAAAUAUCUAAAAUAAAAUAUCAUAUUCAGCCUUCAAUUUAUGUUUUCAUAUUGACAUAAAUCAUCUAGUAAAGUUAAUAUUGACUGUUUAGUUCAAAGACUAGUAGUGCAUUUAUUGUCCGUUUGUUUCACCGAAGGUAAUGUUAAUAUUGACGGUAGAACUAUUUAUUUAUAUAGCUGUUAAAAUAAAAUUCUUCUAUUUCUGCUUUUGUUUUUGGCACAAAAUCAAUAACUUCAAAGUUAAAAAUGUAACAAAUAAGUUAAUAUUAUAUUUUUUUUUAUAAUUAAUUUUAUAAUCAAAGAUAAACUAUAUAAUAACAAAAAUAAAUUAAUGACUAUGCAUGACCAAAACCCACUUCAUGCAUGCAUGUUUCAAGGAGGCAGGAGCUAGAGAGGAAGAACCUUCAUUGCUUGUGAAACAGCCAUUUUGUACUUUAAACAUUUAAGCUAUCAAAGAACGGUGCUAAAGUUAUAUAUUUAACAUUCUCCUUCAUGUUUGAACUCAGAUACAUUUUAUAACGUCCAUAAUGUGGACUUAAAUUAGAUAAGAGAAAAUUAAUAAUGAUAAAAGUUUGGCGCAACUCGAACUCAGAACCUCCUACUCUGAUAUUGUAUGAAAUAACCGUUGUACUCUAACAUAACGUUUGGUUAGAGAACUAAAUUUUAAAGAACAACUUUUAUUAUUUUUGAGAACAGAGGAUACUUCGGUACAAGAAAAAAGAAUUAUAAAUUUGUAUUUGGAUGUAUUUGGAGAUAUGCUAGAGGAUUUUUUUUUUUCUUUUUGAGCGAAAGGUGGCAUGCAACCCGUUUCGUUUAUUUCAUUUAGAAAUAAACUUAGCUGGAAAUGUGAAUCAACUAGAUUCGAACAUGGGUCUCGGGUACCAACCACCAUGCCCUUUUGCCACUUGCGCUAGCUAGGGACGGUCAGAGGAUAUUUUUAGUAGCGUUUGGAUAAAAAAUAUAGAACAAUGUCUAAAUAUAUUUUUAAAAAUAAAAUAAUUAAUUUAUAUUAGUAUAUUUUGUAUAAAUUUAUUUAUAAAAUUAUUUCAUAUAGUAAUUUAUAAUAUAAUUUUUAUGUAACAAUAAUUUAAAAUAGUAUAUUUAUUUUAUUGUAUAUAAUAAUUUAUUUUAUAUAAUUUAUUCUACCAUAUAAUGUUAGAACAAAUACCGCAACGAAAAUCUGAUUAUGAUUUAAAUCUAACUAAAUUUUAUUAUGAAAAUAAAUAAAUCAACUUACAGAUAAUUGCUAAAUCUAAAUAAAGAAUUUGAUCGAUCCGGAAGCGUGCGAGGCACUGUUCUAAGGCGUAUUUCCGUCCUUCGUGUGGGAUUAACUGGAAACACCGGCCCAAGAUACGAUCGGAAUUCCUCCUCUUACGAGCACGAACGUGAAAGAGGUUGAUGGAGACUGGAGACUCUUUCAACACCCGAUGACAAAAAAAUCAAAACUAAAUAAAUUAAAAUAAUAAAAAAAAAUAUGUCUUUCAAUGUUUCUCUCCGCAAUGUUCAUCUUUUUAUGAACAGUGGAAAGAAUACCAUAUAAAAGGGUGUAAAAGGAACGGUGGAAGCACAAAUGUUCCACUCCAUUAAUAGAUUUAAUGGCCGUACGUUUCAUUAAUUAAAAAAAAUAAAUAAUAAUAAAUACUAAUAAAUGAGAAUAAAAAAAUUAAUAAAAUAAAAGAAUAAUAAUAGUAAUUGAAAAAUUAUUGGAUUUUCUCCCACAUAUAAUACUAACAAUAACCUUAUAAUUUUAACUAAUAAUUAGUAUAGAUUUCAAUACAAAUUUAAAAUGUAUAUAAUAUAUGAAAAAAGGCUUAUAUAUAUAAUAAUUAAUAUAAAAUAAAAUAAUUAAAUAUUAAUAAAUAAAUGAUAAAAACUUUAUAAAAUAAAUAAUAUAUCAAAUUUAAUUAAUUUAUAUUGUAUAAAAAAUUAAAGUAUAAAUAUAUUAUCACAAAAAUAAUAUUUAUUAAUAUAUUUAUUUAUAUAUCUAUUUACUUAGUAAAAUAAAAAAAAGAACAAAAUUAAAUUAUUUUAGNAAAAAAAUUACAAAAAAAAAAAAAAAAAAAAAAAGCGAGAGAGAGCGCCCGCGCGCGCGAAUGGGCAUGCAUGUGACGUGUCGUACAAGCGGGGUGGUACGAAACUCGAAGGAAAAGGUCAACGAUUUCGGCGGCCCAUUAAUUGCUUGGGGAGCCGAGCCCUUUCUAGAAACCAUGCACACAUGGAUUUGAUAAAUGGGCGCUCCAUAUAUAUAUAUAUAUAUAUAUAUAUAGGGUGAGGCUACUAUACUAUUAGAAGCACGGAGCUUUUCGUGCUUUCAGCUCAUUUUCGAUGUUGCGACUUUCGAAUCAUCGAUCGGCUCCGUUAAACUUGAUCUAGAGUAUUUGAAGUACCUGAAAAAUAAAUUUUAUGAUUUUACGAUAUCAUUUGCCUAGUGAACGAAGGGGCUCAAAAUCAACGGCUGAAAAUAAAAAUCUUACAAAAUAUAAUAAUAUGGCAUUAAAAUUUUAAAUCAAAGAUAUUGAUCUUGUUUUAUAUAGUAUAAAAAAUUUUCUAUCAAAAUUUCACGUGAUUUCGAUAUUUCUACACCGUUAAACUUGCAAACGGCUCACUACGGCCAUUGAAAUUUGUUGAUUUUGAGCCCAUUCGAUCACUAGGCAAAUGAUAUCUAAAAUAAUAAAAUUUAUUUCUAAGUACUCAAAUACUCUAGAUCAAGUUUAACGGAGCCGAUCGACGAUUCGAAAGUCGCAACAUCGAAAACGAGCUGGAAGCACGGAAGGCUCCGUGCUUUCCAAUAGCAUAGUAGCGCCUCCUCUCUCUCUCUCUCUCUCUCUCUCUCUCUCUCUCUCUCUCUAUAUAUAUAUAUAUAUAUAUAUGCCAUGGCUACUAUACUAUUAUGAGUAUUGGAGCCUUCGUAUUCAUAAGUUGUUUUUAAUGUUGGAGCUUUUGAUUCGACGAUCCACGCCGUUAAAUAUGAUCUAAAGGAUUUGAAACUUUUAGAAAAUAAAUUUCAUAAAUUUUCGAAAUCAUAAUAAAGUCCAUCAAGUGGGCAUAAAAUAAACAGUCAAAAUCAAACGACGUCCUAAAAAAGGAUGAUUGAAUCUUUCAAUUCAAGAUCAAAGUUAUUGAUUUUUAUCUAUAUAGUGAAUAGAAUUUUCUAUCAAAAGUUCAACAAAUUCCGAUUCUUUUACACCGUUAAACUAGCAAGUAUCCCAUACCGGCCGUUAAAAAUUGUCAAAUUUGUGACCUCUUGAUCGUAAGGUAAUGAUGUCGAAAAAUUAUAAAAUUUAGUUUUUAGAAGUUUUAAAUGCUGUAAAUAAUGUUUAACGGUGUGGAUCGCCGAUUCGGAAGCUCUAUCAUCGAAAACAACUUAUGAGUACGAGGGCGAUCGUACUCAAAAUAGUAUAGUAGCCGGACCCCAUAUAUAUAUAUAUAUAUAUAUAUAUAUAUAUAUAUAUAUAUAUAUAUAUAUAUAUAUAUAAAGGGCAAUUGCUUAUAUAUUCUUGAAAAGUUGCUGAUUUUUCAACUUAUCCAUCUUAGAAGCCUAAUAUUGAAAGUAUCCUUUCUAUGUUCAAACCUAUUUCUAAUAUACCUCUAGAGUAAAAAACUGUUAAUGAACUCUAUUAUCUCUGUAAAAUUAUUAUUUUGUCCUUUCAAAUAUAUCCUUCCACUAUCACUGACUUUCUUAUUUGCCCUUAAAGUCAGGAGUACAAAAAGUAUUUUGACUUUUGGUCUUUUCUAAUAUACCUCUCUACUAACACCAAUAUUUCUUAUUUGCCCUUAAGUUAAGGGCAACAUUGAUAUUUUAAUUUUUUUUAACUGUGGUGGGUAUUUAACUCACGUUUAACCCAAAUUAACUUAACAGGAGAUAACUGCAGGGAUAUUUUUGGGGUAUUUUGUAAUAACUAUGAAAAAUAUGAGGGGUAUUUUAGAAAGAAAAAAAGUAGGGAUAAAUUGAAUAUUUUCAAACGUAUGAAGAGUAUAUAGGUAAUUAUCCCUAAAUAAUAAUAUCUACCCACAAUCAAAAUUUCGGUAAUGAGUUAGUUUACUGAUAAAGUGAAGUGUUGUUGUUUGGUAGUAUUAAUCCCAUAUCACGGAUUAAUUUUAAAUCUAUUCAAUAACUCACAACUUAUUUUGAAUAUUAAAAUUUAAAUAUAAAAAUUUUAAAAUUUAAAUUUUUUAGAUAUAAAUAAAAAUAAUACUUCGAAACUUCUUAACGAGACAUUGUUGAAAACUUCUUGCAGAAUAUUUUUUUUUCAUCUCGAUCCUCAACACUCUCCCUUCGGGUUUGCACAGCUUCACGUCUCCCUCGAUCUCUCUCCCUCGCUCGUUUCGUUUUAUUUUUCAUUUUUUUUUGAGAUAGAUAGGUAGCACACUGCCCGCUUCGUUUAUUUUAUUUAGAAAUAAACUUCGCUGAAAAUGUGAAUAAAUUAGAAUUCGAACUUGGAAUCUCAGGUACCAACUAUCAAGUCAUUUGCCACUUCCUCUCACUAGUUUCGUUAAUCGCGAAAUGAGAUGGUGGCACGCAUUACAAUAUGUGAGAGUUUUUCUUUUUAUUUAUGAAAAC
rnacentral:lncRNA from 1 species